CAUGCAAGAGGAACGACUGGUUCGCCCUUUUGUGUGUCAACAGUUAGACCCAUGGAGUACAAUUAUUUCCUCAAGAAAAACAUUGAUUUAAAUCUGAGAGAUGGGACGAAACCAGAACAAGAAGUCUCGAAUUUGUCCAUCUUUUGCAUUAGACUCGACACGUGAGAUACUCAAAACCCAUAACAAAACCUCUCAUAAAAAGCACGAUUCAAGAAGUCGGGCGCAGAUUGAGAUGAGUCAUUCAGAUCUGGGGACCAUCAACAGGUGGGCCCUCACUACAACCACGUUAGAAAAGGAGACAUCCAUAGUAGAAAAAAUGGCGAUAUGCUUGACAUUGCUUGUAGCUAUUUUUGGCUGAUUAAUGUUGCUUGGCUGUAGUGUGGAACUUUUCUGGAUUUGUUUAAUAGUUGUAGGUAGCAGCAAGUAAUUGCAUAUCAAGAAUGGCAAGUUCAUGCUUCUAGAAAUGUAAGCUUUUGAAAACCUCUGAAUCGACAUAUGCCAAAUUAUAUAGUUGGUUAUGAGAUCUCCUGACUACACGUCUACAACAAUAAUAUGCACACACACACACACANNNNCACACACACACACACAACUGUCCACAAGAAUUAAGAUUUUUUCUACGAAAUGUUGAUGGCGCAGCUUUUCGCUGCAAUAAAAGGAGAGAACAAAAACAAACAAGGACGACUAAACUACCGUUAGAAAGCACCUAACAACAGGAAUUAAUGUUAUUAUCAAUACAAUAUAUCAACAAAGAAAUCCAAUAGUACUGCUACAGAUUUGAUCCAACCACCACAGAUAAGAAUAUUGCAAAGCUAUCUGAAACAAGAGAACAGUUUCUUAGUACUUCUCCACGCCGGAGCUCAUGUUUUAUUAGGAGGCAACAUGGUCACUUUAUUGAUCUAUUGCUGUAAAACCAAGUAUAACGAUGAUGCUUCUCGGGAAAGAGGGCUCUACAUGGCGUCCAUAUUCGGCGCUCUCCCCUUAUAACAAAAUUCACCUCCUGAGAGGAUCGGCUUCGCUCUUUGAUCUCCAGCAAUAUAGAUUUAUAGACUCUGUUGCUGCCACCAUGCUGGACCCACAUGGAAUGGGGGCAAUGAUGCAGAAUGCAGACCCCACAUCAUAGCAUAAGAAGGUUUUCGCAACCUCAGCAUCAUCAGCAAAGAUAAUGGUCAUUCACUCCUGUAGUAAUAUACUUACAGACCGAGUCGCCAGGACCGUCUCCAGGAAUUUGGGGUCCGGUGCAAAAUGCGAAACGGGGGUCUAAAAUUUGAGAAACUCAAAUGACUUUCAAUACAUUUCUGGCGCCAAAAUCGUACUUCAUAUUUCUAGAUACUAGAGAGGAUUGAAAUAUAUCUGAAGUCUGAAUCUUAUAUUGUAGUGUAAUGAGUUAUCACAAGAAAUUUUGCUACUGCACACUGCCGACAUGAGCUAUACUAGGUACAUGACAGAAAAUAUCGGAAAAAUAAACCUAAAACCUAACGGCGGAUUACACGGAGAAGAGAAUACAAAAAUAGACCUAAAGCUAUAGAAGUUUCUCAAUUGAUCUGCUGGACAAAGUAUAUGCGUGGAUCUAAAAAUUCACAUGUAAUUGGUCUCCUAGAUAAGGUAUGUAUGUGCUUCCUGAACAACAAUUGCUUUCAUAAUAUAAUACUAGCAAAAGGUCCCGUAUGUUGCACUGAAAAGUAAUAAUAAUUUUCUAUGACCAUGACCACAUUUUGCUGUAUCACCGAGAUACACUAUCACUCUCAAUUUCAUUAAAUCAUGGAAAAAAUUGAAAUCAUGAACCCUUUUUAAAAAUCAUGCAUAUGGUUUUUGAAUUCGUGGACACUUGUACAAAUUUUCGAACAUUUUCUAAAAUCAAGAAAAUUUUAUACUAUUUGCAAACAUUUAAAAAAAAAUCUUUAGUCAGGGAACAUUUCUAGAAUUGACAAAUUUGUUUGGAAAUUUGUGGAACAAAUUUUCGAAUUCACAACCAUUUGUUUGAUUUGACAAACAUUUUUUUAACUUAAUGAAUAUUUUUUAAUGUAAUGAACAUUUUUUGAAAUGCAUGAUAACUAUUAGAAUCAGCGAACAAUUUAGGAAUGAUGAAACUAUUUUAUAAGUCACGAACACUUUUUGAAUUUUAAUGAUAUUUUUAUUUCCUGAAAUUAUUUUGAAUUUGAGAAUUUCAUUAACAUUUGUUAAUACAAUUGUUUAUUAAAAAGGAUGAACUCUUUCUAUUUUCCUGAAUGUUUUCUUUUGAAAAAAUCCAAACAUUUUCUAAACAACAAGACGUUUUUUUUUACAAAAUUUCGAACAUUUUUCCAAUCCACAAAUUUUUAGGAUUUAUGAAACCUUUUAUUUGAUAAUUCUUACUUUUUGUAAUUUCCGAGACUUUCAAAUAGUCAAGAAUCAUUCAGAGUAGAAAAAAAAUAAGAAACAAAACUAACAAACAGGUCGCUUGGACAUGGACCGGCCAAUAUGGACGCAUGCCGUCUUUAUAUAUCACAUAAAGUGCAGUAUAGAAGGUCUCUACUGCAUGGACCACCCCAGACGAGGGAUUCCCUCUGUUAAACGUUUUUAAUCACUUUUUGAUGACAGUAGUGGUUAAUAUUUUACAACUUUGGACACAAUUAUUAGGACGUAAGCCAGAAGCAAUAGCCCCUUUAUUAUUAUUAUUAUUAUUAUUGGAUAGAGAUUUUUUUGUAUACAUGUUUUUAAACAAAAUAAUCAGAUUUUUUGAUUUCCUCAUUUUGAAAAUUUCAAACAUAUGGAUGUAAUAGUUCAGCGUGUCCUGGAUGUUAUUUAUUGUACGCAGAGUUUAUCAUUUUGGUCAUUUGACAAGCGUCUUCUUUUUUGUAAACAUUAAAAGGCAAAUCACAUACGACAAAUUAUUGUAUUUGCCAGCUGCUUGUUCUGGCUGUCUUGUCUCGAUUACCUCCAGCAACCUCGGCCAAACACACUCCAGACAUGGUGGCUGUACAAAUAUCACCUGCCUUUGGCUGUGCCACACGUUUUUAUGUCCUAGCUAAUUAAAGGCUCGCAGGGCUAUGUUGUGUACCAGCAGGUGCUUGUCAAUCCCAGCCACAUCUUCUUCUUUCUUUCUUUAUUUUGCGAAUAAGACACCUCUUCUUCUGCCCGGCAAGGAUCGGGUUGGAGUACUCGUGCCAAUCGAGUGUCACUCCCUCGUUACCAAGUUCGUCAAGUGUGUUCUGAUUGCAGUUCUGAUUACAGGGCGUCAACUUCAUAUAGCGACCACCUUGCUUUAUGCCGUACGGCGUCGAUAUUAAGAUCUUUUAACAGCGACCUCCAUCUACAUCAAACACCCACGCGAUGAACAAGCUUCUGUAUCGAGAGCCUUGCUAACACCUCGCACCUAUAGGUUCAUGUCACCUCGUGAGUACUGUGUCGGUCAAGGAAAUAUACCAUCAAACUGUGUGCCGGUUGUAUCGAACUGGAAGAAGCCCGCCCACUAACAUGUUGGUUUCCUCCAAAGUCUUACAUAAACGUAAAAAAUAUAUUACUCCCUCCACCCCAUAAUAUAAGAGGCUUUUUAUAUUAUAUUAGUGUCAGAAACGUUCUUAUAUUAUGGGAAGGAGGGAGUAGCACACAAUCAAUAGCACCAUUCUGAUAAAGUAAGCACAAUGAUUGAUUUGGUAGCUAGCUAGCUAGCUAAUUGACAUACAAUCAGGUGCAAAUAACAUCCGUCCCGAAUAUAUAUAGUAACCAUCCAUCCCUGCAACAAUGAAAGGUAUCUCAUGCACACAGAUAAGCAUGACCAGAUAGGAACUCGAGGUGCAUAAAGAAUGAUAAAAUCUAAACGGCAUGUGUACAUCACAAAAGUGUUCUCUGCAAAAUCCAGCAUGAUUAGUUCCAAGGAGUUAGUGAUCGUAACUUUGUGGCAUGUGUAUCACCCUUAAACCUUUCUUAUUUCCCUCUUUGCUAUCAUCCAAUUCAUGUUCAAAUUCCACCCCAAGAGAAAGGCGCCAAGUAAGCAUGCAUGGGCAUAUGGACAAUGCAUUAAAUAAUAAAAUAAUUGAUCUCAUUUUACAUUGUCCUAAACAAUUGAAAUGUCUGACAUGAAUAUUGUAUGAUAUGCGGUACAAUCUCAAAAAAAGAUGUGAUAAUCUGGUAGAAGUCAAAAGGGCAAAUUUGUUGUGGUUGGAAGUUCAUGUAGUUCCAUAUAUAAGAUACACACAUGCAAGAGGAACGACUGGUUCACCCUCUUGUGUGUCAAGAGUUAGACCAAUGGAGUACAAUGAUUUCCUCGAGAAAAACAUUGAUUUAAAUCUGAGAGAUGGGAGGAAACCAGAACAAGAACUCUCAAAUUUGUCCAUCUUUUGCAUUAGACUCGACAUGUGAGAUACUCAAAACCCAUAGAAAAACCUCUGAUAAAAAAGUACCAUUCAAGAAAUCGGACGGAGAUUGAAUCAUCCUGUGCAUUUGGGUAUUUUGGUUAUUUUGGUUCGGGUAGUUCGGGUUAUGGGCAACUCGGGUACGCAAAAAUGGGAACCCAAUUUUUUUUCUACCAAAAAAGUACCCGGACCCAAAUUACCUAAAAUUUCCGUUCGUGUAAUUCGGGUACCCAAAAAACCCAAAAUAUUCGGAGCACACAUCAAAUUUUGGUAUGAAUAAUUAGGGUAUUGUGGAGAUAGUAUGGGUAUGUUAGUUAGUAUCGAUAAAAUGUCAGUGUAAUAAUAGCAUGAAUAAUUUGGCUAGUAUAAAUAAUUCGGGUAGUAUGGUUAUUUCGGGUUUUUCAUAUUGGAACCCGAACCCUAACCCGAAAAUCGAAUAGCUAGGAAACAAGAACCGAACACUAACCCGAUAGCCGAAGUACCCAACAAUUCGGGUAAUUCGGUUUUGUUCUUGUUCGGGUAGCGUGUUAGGGUACCCAAAUGCUCAGCUGAGAUUGAGAGGAACCAUUCAGAUCAAGGGACCAUCAACAGGUGGGCCCUCACCAGAUACACAUCAAAAUAGGAGACAUCCAUGGUAGAAAACAUGGUGAUAUGCUUGACAUUGGUUGUUGCUAUUUUUUGUUGAUUAAUGUGCUAGGCUGUAGUGUUGAACUUUUUUGGAUCUGUUUAAUAUUUGUAGGUAGCAACAAGUAGUUGCAUAUCAAGAAUGAUAAGUUCAUGCCUCUAGAAGAGUAAGAUUUGUCAGUGACUUGCAUAUCUGGACACUGACUUGGUGACUGCCCCCCCCCCCCUCGGGGGAAUUCUUCGUUAGCACGGUGCACAUGGCACUAUGCUGGUCCCCCACCAUAUCGUGGCUUUUGCACCUAUGGAAGGCUCAUAUGCCCCUGAAGAUCAAGAGCUUUGUGUGGCAAUUACUUCAGGAUCGCAUCCCUUUGGGUGCGGAGGUGCUCAAGCAGCACAAACCGGGGGAUGGCAUGUGCAUGUCCUCUAUGUUCGGUACCUGAGACGGGACCCGUAUCCUCUUCUCAUGUACGGCCGCAAGAGUACUUUGGUCCUAUGUGCGUGAGGCAUUGGGUCGCGACUGGGAGGCUCGGAACCUUGUAGAGUGUCUCCAGACCAGGGCCACUCAGACCGGGCGCUAUCGCCGUCUCUUCUGGUUUAUAUUUGUGGCCAUGUGGUGGUCUCUGUCGACAACUCGUAAUAAAAUGGUUAUUGAGCGGAUAUUUUCGAGGUGUGCGUGUGACUCCUUCUUCAAAUUUCUUGUUUUCAUGCAGCACUAGCACCCGCUCUCUAGGCAACGAGACCGGUAUCGGCUUGACACAAUGGUAGAUGCGCUUCUGGCUACUGCGCGUCGCUUAUCUUCUUAGUAGUGCCACUUCUUGGCUGCCAAUAGGUGGCUUUUUUGGUUUUUAUUUCACCUUUCUUUGGACUUUGAUUGUGUUGUUGCCCCAGCUGUCGUUCUGUUCGGAAUUGUUUGCUGGUUGUUUGAACAUGUUGCUUUAUUUAUAAAACAGGACGAAAGCCUAUUUCAAGAAACGUAAACUUUUGAAAACUUUUGAAUCGCCAAAUUAUAUAGUCAGUUAUGAAAUCUCCUAACUACGACUACAACAAUAAUAUGCAUAGACACACAAAAAAAGUCCACAAGAAUUAAUGUUUUUUUUUUACGAAAUGUUGACGGUGCAGCUUUUCAUUCCAAUAGAAAGAGAGAACAAAAACAAACAAGGGCGACUAAACUGCUGUUAGAAAGCGCCUAACAACAGGAAUUAAUGUUAUUAUCAAUGAAAUAUAUCAACAAACAAGUCCAACAGUACUGUUACAAACUUUGCUCCAUCCACCAUAGAUAAGAAUGUUGCAAAAUUAGAAGCUAUCUGAAAAAAUAGAGCAGUUUCUUAGAGCUUCUCCACGCCGGAGCUCAUGUUUUAUUAGGAGGCAACACGGUCAUUUUAUUGAUCUCUUGCUGUAAAAGCCAAGUAUAACGAAGAUGCUUGACGGAAAGAGCGCUCCAUAUUGCGUCCAUAUUGGACGCUCUCCCCUCAUAACGAAGUUCACCUCCUGAGAGGAUCAGCUUCGCUCUUUGAUCUCCAGCAAUAUAGAUCUAUAGACUCUGUUGCUGUCACCAUGCCGGAGCUCAUGUGGACAGGUCACUAGAGAAAAUAAGGGCGGAUCAGACCUGGAAAAAUGCAGGAUACGAGGCGAGAAGGCACGUCCUGCACGCAUGGGCAUAUGAACUCACUUUUCACAAAAUGCAUUUUAAACAUGUUUUAAAAUGUUAAAAAUAAUUCAUAGGAAAACUUCAUGCAUACAUCUUCACAAAUAUGUGUGCACGGCUCUUGGCCUCCGCAAAAAAAAAGAAGCAAAUUCCAGUGCAUCUACAACACAUUUUUUUGACUUUUUUUGCACAAGCCAAAGAAAAAGUUGUUUUUCCGGGAAACUUUCUGCAUGCACAAAGAAUGUGAAGAUGUAUGCCGAGACUUUUUCAGAAUUUUUUGAAAACUAGACAUAGUUUUUCAAAAUGGGUUCAUAUAUUCAAGUGUUCAUCCAUGCACUUCUCGACAAGAGACUGUCUAUUCAUGGGCCAAAGCUUUCAACCCAUGCCAUUCUGCUUGUUGCUGACGAAAUGGACGUGCAUUUCCGUUUGUCUGAUGUUCCUGAUGAUGAUGAGACGCCUGGUGUUGUGGAUAUACCCCGCGGUAUGACCCGAUGAUCCGACAGACGGUUAUGACUGGACAGACAGUUAUGACUCAGCAGACACUUAUAACCCGUCAGACAGUCAAGUUCCAAAAACGAUUCCCUGAAGAUGAGUCUUGAAGAGAAGCCCGGUCGUAAGCCGCCCAAGGACUCAGCAAUAUGUUUGUAAGCAGCUCGGUCGUAAGCAGCCCGGUUGUAAGCAACCCGGUCGUAAGCCGCCCGGGGACUCAGCAAUCUGUUUGUAAGCAGCCCGGUUGUAAGCAGCCCAGUCGUAAGCAGCCCGGUUGUAAGCAGCCCGGUCGUAAGUCGCUCGAGGACUCAUCAAUCUGUUUGUAAGCAGCCCGGUCGUAAGCCGCCCGGGACAUAGCAAUCUGUUCGUAAGUCGCCCGGGACUCAGCAAUCCGUUUGUAAGUAGCCCGGGACUCAGCAAUGAGUUGGUAAGUCGCCCGGAACUCAGCAAUCUGUUCGUAAGUCGCCCGGACUCAGAAGCCCACGAAGAGAAGCCCGUGAUGGAGAGUCAUAAUAUGCUAAGCCUAGAUCCGGCUUGGACACAAUAUGUAACUCGCCCCUUCAGCUUAUAUAAGGAGGGGCGACAGACCCCAAGAGGGUUAGGUUUUUUAGACGCCUCAAUAGACAAGAUUCACAACUUAGGUCUAGACAAGACAAAUCAUGAGAUAGGCAGAUUAGACACCCACGAGAUUAGAGGUGCCAAGUCUGCACCCUUGUAAUCGAGAGCAUCAUCUUCAAUGAGACACAAGUAGGACGUAGGCGUUUACCUCCAUCGGAGGGGCCGAACCUGGGUAAACUCGCGUCUCUCGAUUCCGACCAACCCCUCUCAAGCCGCCACAUGGUUGCGAUAGCCUCACACCUAAGUUCUCUCACGAGAACAUCUGCCGUGACAAAACCACGACACCUGGUUUGAUGUACAUGAUCCUGCAACGCGUUGCCUGCAUGAAUCCAUUCAUAACUCGAGUAUCCAGUAUUUCUUAUUCUUUUAUAUUUAGUGGUGUGCUUCGGUAGAUCCUUCCCCCCGCCUCUCUCCCCCUCUUCACAAAACAUAGAAGAGGAAACGGAAAUCCACCUCGUAUUGUAUACUACACUCUGUUGUACGUAUACCCAUCUCAUAUUGUAUAACACAAGUUGCCAUUAUACCCUUUUUAUGAAGGGAUAUCAUGCAAUGUCAGCCAUAUUUCUACGCUUUGUGGGGUAAGGGGGUGUCUACCGAAGCAAAAGUGUUAUUUUUAUCCUUCUGAGAAUUAUUUGUUAGAUACACAAUUCGUCUGUUGGAUGUAACAUCAUAAAUUUAUACUUAUACGGUUAUACCUCUGCAUAUUGAUAUUGAUCUUCCAACUGCAAUUCUGCUGACACUUUUCAAUUUUGACCCGGCUGUCGUUCCGGCAUCUGUUUUCUAAUGUUCAAAAUAGUUUACUUGACUUUGGCAUGAACCAGGCAGACCGACCAAGUCUAGUUGUUGCUGUGUCCUCACACAGAAGGUAGCCUUCCCCGCGUCAGUUCGCCAUGAUAGAUCCGUGGAUCUUAGGCUAGAUGUAUUCGGAUGAUGUGGUAGAUUAAUUACCUUGUGAUGAACUCAAUGAGCUCCCUUCAGAGACCGUCGUGAGGUGAUGACAACGGUGGGGAAGGAAAGAGAGAUGCGGUAACGGCGGCGAUGGACUUCCCAUCGCUUCAGUGCAUCCCUUUAGAUCGGAUUAGGGUUGGAGAGUGGGGAACCAGUGGCGGCGGCGAACCUCGUAACUUGUGCCAUGGUCCCCACCUCCUCUUUAUAGCACUGCGCGACAGGGGCCACCAGCCUUGCUUGGGCUGGACGCCCCCGAUCAGGGCGUGAGUCAAGGUCCAAUGGACCGUUGGGCCCAUUGGGCAAGAGAUCAACCUAACAUUCCCCCCCUUGAUCUCAUCAUAUACUUUUAACUUUACUCGUUUCGUAACAGAUCAAUACAUAGGGCAUGUUUCAUCGUCACGGCUCAAUUGCCGAUGGAAUCAGACAACCACAAUGUACCUCUCUAUUUUGAGACAGAUUCUUUAACCUUGGGCCCUUUAUUGUCCGGAAAUUUUAGACUAUACCAUAAAACCCAUGUCGACUGUGUGUUCUCCGAACGCACUGGGCGGUAAGCCUUUGAUAAGCAGAUCUGCAAACACUUGUUUGUCGCUUUUAUGCUUUCAAGCAUUUUUCCAUAAUUCCGGACUUUCUCCUUCACAACACGUAACUCUUUGUCAGUGUGUUUGGCAUCAACACUUGACUCGUUGUGACAGGAGCGAAAGAACUUAAAAUGGUAAUCGUCGUUGUCAACCAUUAUCCACUCCGGGUACAGGUAGCCUUAACCACGUUGCCCGUCCCUCAGCCUCAUAUCAAGCUAUAACAUAUCAUUGCAUCACAUUGAUGACAAUCGUUUUACAUUUGGAGAUUUUCCACACAAAACUCCGAGUAUGAAAGUUAGCGACAAUUGUGGAUUUCGCUAUACAUUUCACAAGUCCUGCCUUUGUACUCACAAUCUUUUGAGAGGACUUAUUUCUUUUAGCAUGAGGCCGAUAUCUUUGACUCCAUUCCAUUGAUUUAUCUAUGGACUGGAAAUUGCCAAAACAACCUGGAUAUAUACGUGAACUGUGUCAGGGUAAUAUCUUGAGCUUCCAACAACUGAAGCAUAUGGUACCAUAUCCGUUUACAAUCUUUUCUUAUUAACUUUUGGAACACCAUAGUUUCCACUUCCAUUACCCUUGACUAUAAGAACAGGCGUAGGUUUUCUCGUAUGCAUACUUUAGAGAUCUUUCUUAGCAUGUCCAUGCGACAUUCCUAAUACCCCCUUUUAUUCUUUUGAACUUUGAGGACAAGAACUUCUUUAUUCCUCCUGCAGUAGAUUGACAUCACCACUAGCAAGUAGGACAUCAUCCACAUGCAUAGGAAUUGGGAAACGAAUUUCCCAUUCUAUAACUUUGCAUGAAUGCAAUUGUCCUCUCAUUUUCUUUGCACAAAAUCUUUUGGUUUAAGUCAUGUUUUACGCAUUUACAUAUUUCCUUUGGAGUCACAUUUGCCUUGUAGACCCUUCAUAAAGUCUAUGUUAGUGAAAUUCAAAUGAUGGAAUUUCACUAACAUANCUAACAUAGACUUUAUAGUAGUCACAAGUAUGUGAUUUUCACAUUCCUAGAGACCAUCAAAAUCUCAGGUACUGGCACUUCUUUCAUAUGGGGUAGUCGUUGCUCUGUCAUUGCCAAGAGGCAAAUUCAUUCUAUAGUCACCCAUUUCCAAAAGGCAAUAGGUUUUACAGGGAACUGUAUCACAAGAUCCCUUGUAGAGCUAACAACAGGUGUUGUAUAGGUCAUACAACAUGCUCCCCAGAUUACUCCAUCUUCAUUGAAGAAAUGGCGUAUCUUUAAACUUUCUUCUUUAUGGAACUUUAAGCACCACCGUUGUAUUCCUUAGUCUGCUUUCGGAACUAUAAAAGAUUCGAAAAUACAACUGUUUCUUUUCUUUAGGGGUAUCAUAAUGACGGCAUUCAGAUGACUGUCAUACUCCCCUUGACAAUCACAUUCUUCAUUAAUGGAUCACUUUAGAUGCAUAAUGUGCAUUACAUCAUCUAAAGUACAGAGGAGUCAUGAAAUACACUACAAUGUAUUUCAUGUCUCUUUCUCCCCCUCGAAAUGUGGCAAGAACUUUUCUGCCACAAUUUCGAAACCCAUUCAUAGCUCUUGUGAAAUGAGGAAACUUCGAUUAUCUAGCUCAUUCAUCUUAUCACUUCAUGUAAAAUGAAGUUAUAAGUUAGCUAGUAUGGGAGUAUUGUUUCCUCAUUUCAUUUCAGAAACUCAACAGAGUUCUAUUUCAUUGUCUCUUUUGCAAGUCACACUUGCAUAUUAUUCUUGUCUUUAGGUUCGUCUGUUACUUUUACCCUUUCUGGAUUUAGUGAUUGCAUAAUGACCGUUACACAUAAGGUGUACAGUCGAUACUAGGAAAGCUUAAUAGCUACUCCAUACUUUUCUCCCAUAGUGGGACACAUUAACCGCACAUGAGUCAUCAUAACUUUCUCCUGUCAUACAGGAUAAGGCCUUUGCCAAAAUUUCUCCCGCCAUACACGGAUUGUUGACAUAAUACAAUGUCAACUUUACCCGGUUACGCAGGCAUUCUUCCCAGACUUUUCCCGCCAUGCGGGUAAUUCCCUGUAAGGGACAUAAAUGCCAUAAUUGGCUAUUUUGACUGCAUCAAAUUCAGAAAUAAAUCUGAAUUAUCCUUGACACACAUGUUUGAUCCGAUGUUGGUCAAAUUAAACAUGCAUGUUGCUUGUUUCAUUUAAUCAUGUUGACUGAAAAAGGAGACUUCAUCAUAGAGAGUACAUGAAAGACAUUCGUCAACCAAGACUCUCAAUGAUCUAUCUCUUUUCUUUUCUUCAAUUAAUAUCCAAGAGUUCUUUUCUUGUGAAGCCAUUCUUUAGAGAGAAUUUAUUCCCUCAAGUUAUGACCUUUCUUUUCCAUCUUUCGGGUCACUAGUACCCAAAACAUUCGCUUUCAUGAGUGAAAGCUUGAAUAACUUUUAGUCUGAGAAAACUUAGCCAAUAAACAACGGUAAUGAGCAUAAAAAUAAUCCUACGUUGGUCUGAUUAAAAUCAUGCACAUUAAACCUUGUAAGACUUUCUUUUAUAUUCUAAAUCACCGUUGGGCAGANNNNNNNNNNNNNNNNNNNNNNNNNNNNNNNNNNNNNNNNNNNNNNNNNNNNNNNNNNNNNNNNNNNNNNNNNNNNNNNNNNNNNNNNNNNNNNNNNNNNNNNNNNNNNNNNNNNNNNNNNNNNNNNNNNNNNNNNNNNNNNNNNNNNNNNNNNNNNNNNNNNNNNNNNNNNNNNNNNNNNNNUCACCGUUGGGCAGAAAUGGAAAUAAUGCAUAUAACUUAUAAACAAUGUGAUAAUACUAUUUGUAAGAAAGAAUCAUCAUCGUAAACCAUAUGCAUUUCUUAAUCUAUGCUCUGAAAAUUGAUCACUUUGAUACAAAAUUUAUCAGAGAUUUAAGCUUUGAACAUAAGAUGACUCAUACAAAUAUAGUAUUGUUAUCAUCAACGUUGGUCAGAAAACAACAAUACCAUAUUUUAACUUUAAAACAAACAUUUUUCUAUUGUCAUAGCGGAAACUGUUUGAAUCCUAUUUCACCCACAAGGGAAACACUUUGCUAAUAACAGUUCUUCCAAUUAAAUUUUCCCGUUGGUUCCAAUUUAAUUGGAGGACUAAACCUUUUUAUUUUGCAGCGGAAAUACGUGAGUAUGAAAAUUCAUACACCUUUACAGAAAAAUAUUCUGUUAAAAUUUAAAAAUUCAUGAACUUNNNNNNNNNNNNNNNNNNNNNNNNNNNNNNNNNNNNNNNNNNNNNNNNNNNNNNNNNNNNNNNNNNNNNNNNNNNNNNNNNNNNNNNNNNNNNNNNNNNNNNNNNNNNNNNNNNNNNNNNNNNNNNNNNNNNNNNNNNAAUUCAUGAACUUUAUAAUCUCAUUUAUAAAAUCCAUAAAUUUUUCCUUUUUUGAAAAUCUUUCUUUUAUUUUCAGAACCUUUUAUUUUCUUUUCAGAAAAAUUAAUAUUGUUCAUGUUGCAAACUUUUUACAGAAAAAAGAAUAUUCUGUCACNNAAUUCAUGAACUUUAUUCAUACUUUUAUAAAGGCCAUGAACUUUUCUUUUUCUGAAAAAUAUUAUAUUUUCAGAAACUUUUAUUUUUCUUUGCAGAAAAAUAAUGUUAGUAUUAUGUCUAUUUUACAGAAACUUUGAAUAUUUUCUUUACUAUUUUCUAAACAUAUUUUCGUAUGAAAAAUGCAUAGAAAAANNNNNNNNNNNNNNNNNNNNNNNNNNNNNNNNNNNNNNNNNNNNNNNNNNNNNNNNNNNNNNNNNNNNNNNNNNNNNNNNNNNNNNNNNNNNNNNNNNNNNNNNNNNNNNNNNNNNNNNNNNAAAAUGCAUAGAAAAACCAUUUUAAAUCUGCCUAAAGUAGACAGAAAUCAAAAAUUCCUUUAAUACGAAAAAAUGGCCGGCUCGGCCGGCCUGUGGCCUCGGCCCGCCACCAGCCAUCCUGCCAGGCACGCACCAGCGCCUCCCUGCGGCCCCAUGGGCUGCGGCCUCGAGUGGGCCGGCCUGGCGCAGCGGCCUGCGGCCCGAAGGCCCGUCGUAGCCUAGGGUUUCCUCUGGGGCGAUCCCAGCCGCCCGCGUCGAUCCGACGGCCCUCCUUAGAGAUCGGGGAAACAAAAAGGGGAGGCCUUCCUAGCCGAGGCCGAAACCCUCGUCAUUUCCCCUGCUGCGCCGCUCCUUAUCCCCUCUCUGGCUUGACCGAGCCUAGCCUGACGGUGGCUUCCAGCACCGUCGAGCGGCGGCUGUAUGCCCCGUCGAACGGCGGCUCGCUGCCCUGUCGAGCGGCGGCUGCAUGCCCCGUUCUCUUUCUCCGUGGCGUGUCGCUCUCCCCCUCGCGCCUCCUUCCAUUCCUGAGGCAGCAGUGGCCAGCCGGCCACUGCGACGGCGACGAGGGGCCCUGCCCCUGCGCCUCUUUCCUGCGCCUCCUCGUUCCCCAUAUCUCGAGCACUACCACCAGCGCAGCGACAACGGGCCAGCUUCCCCUCGGUCGCGCCGCUCUUUUCCUCUUUGGACAGGUCUGUCCUAGCAGCGGCAGAAAAUGGGGCAUUGCCCCGGUCGACCGGUCUGGCCGCCGGCGGCGGAGAGGCAACGCACCGCGCCUUUCUUCCCUCUGCCUCUCUAGGCACUCCCUCGCGCGGUGGUUUUCUUGCCCCGCCGAGGAGAGCCCGGAUCUGGCCGCCGGCGUGGGGGGCAGNNNNNNNNNNNNNNNNNNNNNNNNNNNNNNNNNNNNNNNNNNNNNNNNNNNNNNNNNNNNNNNNNNNNNNNNNNNNNNNNNNNNNNNNNNNNNNNNNNNNNNNNNNNNNNNNNNNNNNNNNNNNNNNNNNNNNNNNNNNCCCCCCCCCCCCCCCACACAGCCGGUUCAUCUUCUUUCCUUUUACCUUGCUCGACCAGCCCCUCCUCCCCUUUCUUCUUUGUAGAGAGAGACAGAGCGCCGGCUGAGCAAUAACUUGCGGCGUCGUGGUCUCCCCUUUCGCCGAUUGAGCGUUCCUUGGUGGUGAGCGCGCUGUCGUCGAGUGGGUUGGCCAUGGUGCCCCUUUUUCCUUUUCUUUNNNNNNNNNNNNNNNNNNNNNNNNNNNNNNNNNNNNNNNNNNNNNNNNNNNNNNNNNNNNNNNNNNNNNNNNNNNNNNNNNNNNNNNNNNNNNNNNNNNNNNNNNNNNNNNNNNNCUUUUUCCUUUUCUUUACGUGUAGGGUGUCCCGCAGCGGCAUGAGAUGGUGGCUCCACCUCCGUUCCUUUGCCGGCGCGCGCGAGCACCUUCAAGGUGAACGCGCCACCGUCAAGGGCGCGGUGGUGGUGCCCUUUGCCCCGUUUGGGGUGUUUCCUUUGCAUUGCAUGUUCCCCUUCUUAUUUGCAUUUUUUUUAUGCCUUUUGGAUCUCAUCGGAUCCGAUCUUUUCUUUGCCCCGAAGGGGUAGAUUCUUUGCCCCGAUAAGGGGUGGUGUUCUUCUUCCGAAUGGCUCGGCUUGCCGAUGCCCGUCCGGAUCGAGAGGAACGACGCGGCCUUGCGGCGGCGCAACUUUUCCCAGUGAGGGACCUUUUCUUUCUACCCUGUUCUAGGGUUCCAGGGGAGGGGAAACUUUUCUUGUUGUUGUUUCAUCCGAAACUCAUCUAAAGCCUCGUGGCUCAUGAUACCAUUGAUAGAUCCCGUGGAUCUUAGGCUNNNNNNNNNNNNNNNNNNNNNNNNNNNNNNNNNNNNNNNNNNNNNNNNNNNNNNNNNNNNNNNNNNNNNNNNNNNNNNNNNNNNNNNNNNNNNNNNNNNNNNNNNNNNNNNNNNNNNNNNNNNNNNNNNNNNNNNNNNNNNNNNNNNNNNNNNNNNNNNNNNNNNNNNNNNNNNNNNNNNNNNNNNNNNNNNNNNNNNNNNNNNNNNNNNNNNNNNNNNNNNNNNNNNNNNNNNNNNNNNNNNNNNNNNNNNNNNNNNNNNNNNNNNNNNNNNNNNNNNNNNNNNNNNNNNNNNNNNNNNNNNNNNNNNNNNNNNNNNNNNNNNNNNNNNNNNNNNNNNNNNNNNNNNNNNNNNNNNNNNNNNNNNNNNNNNNNNNNNNNNNNNNNNNCCACCAGCCUUGCUUGGGCUGGACGCCCCUGAUCAGGGCGUGAGUCAAGGUCUAAUGGGCCGUUGGGCCCAUUGGGCAAGAGAUCAACCUAACACGCCACUCAUGAGUUCGCCACUUGACCUGUUUCGCUUCCUGAGGAAAUGGCAUGGCGGAACCAAAGCUUGCGAGCACGUAGCACGAGAUAUGUCCAUGGCGAAUGGGUCACCGAUGUACAGGUCUUUCAUCACACUUUCUCAGAGGAGAUGGCGGUGCAGCCUAAGACUAGUCCCUCCUUCGUGAGGCGCACCCUUCAUGGCAAACAGGUCAUGACGUACAUGUCUCGACGUACUGGAUGCUGGUGUACAGGUGGCGUGAUAUUUGCCUUCGCAGAUCAUCAAAUACGGCAUCUAGCCGAGACGAGGCACCCAUACGGUGAACGGGUCAUGGCGUACAAAACGCCUACAUGCAGGUGGUGUGAUCCUUAUCAAGGCAGAACACCGAACACGACGUCUAGAUGAGACGAGGCACCAAACAUGCCCCUCUACGACAUCAUGUUAUUUCAACCGUGCGAUGUGGUUCCUUUUUCUUGGCAGACCAACGAAUAUGACGCCCAAUCAAGUGAGGUGCAUCCACCAUAGGGGACAGGUCCUUGGCGCAUAGAUCCAUGACGUCAUCGGUACAUAGGUCAUCCUAUGGUGUAGCAUCUACCGAAGGUGACGCGGCCUCCACGACGCUACCUUUCCACGGCCCAUGAGGCGGCGCCCUUAUCUUGGCGGAUCACCAAAUACUCGGUGUCUAGCCGAGACGAGGCACCNNNNNNNNNNNNNNNNNNNNNNNNNNNNNNNNNNNNNNNNNNNNNNNNNNNNNNNNNNNNNNNNNNNNNNNNNNNNNNNNNNNNNNNNNNNNNNNNNNNNNNNNNNNNNNNNNNNNNNNNGCCGAGACGAGGCACCGACCACACCGGCCAUGCCGAUGUGAUCGUCACUUUAUUUUACACCGACUUCGAUCUCCACCAAAACUAUACUCCCGUGAGGCAAGGCAAACCCCUUGCAUGCCCCGACCAGGCCGCUAGGUCGUCGAGAACACCGAGCUGAGCAGGACCAAGGCUACUUCUACCCCCAACUACAUCAAUGUUGCCAAGACCGACGAGGCACGACGGUGAGGGCGGACAUGGCUAGCACAAGGCCGCGUUUUCAGUGACGCGUGUACAAGCAAGGACACGGGAUGUGACGUUGCCCACAGAUGCUACCACCAUUAUGCACGCGAUCGCGAAGAAAAGACAACGAAGGUGACCAAACGGCUUAAUCAAAGGUAUCUCGGGAGUAAUACGUGGGAGNNNNNNNNNNNNNNNNNNNNNNNNNNNNNNNNNNNNNNNNNNNNNNNNNNNNNNNNNNNNNNNNNNNNNNNNNNNNNNNNNNNNNNNNNNNNNNNNNNNNNNNNNNNNNNNNNNNNNNNNNNNNNNNNNNNNNNNNAAUUAACAGUGAGCCUUUUGAAGCCCCGGAAACCAAGAGACCUCAUAUCCCUACAAUCAGCCUCGCCGCGCUUGUAGGCCACAGAGGGCAUAUGUAAUAUGAUCUUGUAAUUUUGUUUUUCCUAUGAGAGAUUAAUAAAAAAACAUGUUUCCCUANNNNNNNNNNNNNNNNNNNNNNNNNNNNNNNNNNNNNNNNNNNNNNNNNNNNNNNNNNNNNNNNNNNNNNNNNNNNNNNNNNNNNNNNNNNNNNNNNNNNNNNNNNNNNNNNNNNNNNNNNNNNNNNNNNNNNNNNNNNNNNNNNCCCUACAUUUUUGUGCAUUUGUUAGUACACCGGCACGCCUGCAAUGUUUUAUUUGUCUUGAUGCAUCGGAAGAUAAUAAUAUAAUAACCAUGUCAUUUUUUAUCAUUUCUCAUGUCAAACAGUGUCAAAUAUAUUUGUAUAAAGUAGAUUACAGUCGGAUUUGGAUUCAAACUGUGUACAGAUAGGGUACGGAUACAUGUUCGAGUAAGAUACUUGUAUCAUAGGCCCCUUAUAUAAUGUAAACUAGACACACAUUAAUCUAUGUCAACAUACUAGUACAUGCUUACAGUGAAAGCUGACAGCACGUGUUUGCAGAUGAAUGUUGUGCGGUGUUGUGACAUUGUUAUAAGAAAAAUCACCAACAAUCAUGCUCAAUAUUGUCAUGUUGAUAAAUUUCGUUAAUAAAUUUUGAUGUCGUACCUGGUGUGAUUACUUAGAUCUUGGAUGAUCCACUACGCGACUCGGAUUAUACUAACACACUGUCACGCGGAGCUUCCUAACAAGAAGGGCUUCGUUGUGUUAAAUAUACGCACCUAAGCAAAUGAAUGGUUGCAUCUAAACUACUACGUGCGUGCCAGUAAUAGGAGUAAUAGCAGCUGACAUCGAUUUGGUACGGUAGUGCAAGGGGAAUAUAAUCUUGACAUGCAACGGCUCCCAUUUUCCACAUCAGUUGGAAUACGGGGGAUCAAUCUUGACAUGCCCGUCCAAACUUUGGAUGAUGGAGGAUUAAACGGUACUAUCGAGUUUUGCUCUAAGCACGGGGCCUUAUGUGCACAAAUCGUUCAGAAAUUGUUCAGUAAUUGCCGUGUGUGUGGCAAUGUUCCCGAAAUACGGAGACAUACACAAACGGCAACAGGGACAAUGGCGUCUUUUCCUGGUUAUGGCGUGCCUGCCCAUGUGUGGUGAACGGCUGGAACUGCAGCUGCUGGUACAACGCGCUGUACAAAAACCACUUCCAUUUUAACACCUAUGUUGGCCACGGGGAUUGAGCUUGGUGACAGCUUCCUCCACAUGACAUGGGGCAUGGGAUUCCUGGUCCGAUUACCACGCGUCAUCAUACGAUGUAGACAAGCAGAUCUGCACACCACAAGCUGUGUGCCCAUCAAACUCGAGGGCACUGAAUUGAUUGUUGUAUGGAGCGGGUCCAUAACACAUUGUGCCUCUAGGUUUAUGUCACCUCACCCCUAUUGUGUCACAGAAGAAGCAGAGGUUCACCUCGAUAUGGUUAGGUCGAGUGGGACAAGUCUGCCUGCUAGCAUGUUUGGUUUCCUCCAGUCUCUCACCUGAAAAUGACUAUACUACUCUAGAGCAAUUAGACGCAACGAUUGACUUUUUUUUUUUUAGAAAAAGAGGAUGACCCCCGGCCUCUCUGUAUGAGGGAGAUGCAUGCGGCCAUUUUAGAAAAGGAGCAAUUAGACGCAACGAUUGACUGAUCGUUGAUUUCUCUUCUAGCUAGCUGAUUGAAAUGCAACUUCUUAGAAAUGAAAUCAAUCUGGGAUGUAUAUAUAGAGGCUUUCAUCCAAGCAACAAUGAAUGGUACACACAUAUAAGCAUGAGCGCACACGAAUUUGGGGUGCAUAUAUAGAGCAUGAUAAAGUCUAAAUUGAGUGAGUGUAUCACAAAAUUGCGCUUCACACAAAAGCUAGCAUGAUCACGAGAGAUCAGUCAUGCAUCAUACCUAACCUUGCAGCAUGUGCAUGUAUCUUACAUCUUCUUUGCUUUCAUAUGGUUCAUGUUUCAACCGGAGAUAAAGGACACCUGAGAAGCAUGCCUAGACAAAUGCACAAUGCACGAGAGAACAAAAUAAUUGAUCUCGUUCUACAUUAGCCUAAAGAAUUGACAUAUCUAACAUGAAUAUUCAAUAUUGUAUAAUAUGGUAGUUCAAUGAGGCAGGUCACCGUGGUUGGCUAUGUUGCGUGGGACCUAUGGAAGGAGGUGAACUGGUGAACAUUGAAAGGGAUGAGGGCCUCACCUAAGAUCUGAAACCCUCUCCUCACCCUCUCCCCAUCCAUCCCAGACCCCAUCACGCCCGGGAGGCCUAGCCACCUCCUCUCCCUCCCUCGCCGCCACAUGAGGAUGGCGCCGGGAAAGCCCGUGGUGGAGCCGGGGACUGCGGGCGUGGGCCCUUCCUGCUCUGCCUUACGCACUUGAGAGCUAUUGGAUCUGGGACGGCGGCCCUUCCGGCGAGGCCCCUCCGUGCUGCGGCGAUCGGCAGGGCUGGCAUGGUGCCAGUGGUCUGGUCGAACAGCCGACGGAUCUUCGGUGGACCUGGGCCUAGCGUGGUUACUUUGGCGGCCGGUGGCGCCUGAUCUGGCUACUGUCCUUUGGCCCUGAUCGGUGUGCUUCUCUCCUGCGGGUUCCUCACGGUACCGGCGUGGCUUGACGGGACCCUGGCCGGUGGCCGCGGGUGAAGUUGUUGGAGGAGAUCUAGAUUGGGGGAAACCCCUUGAUCGGCCCUGGCCGACCGCACCGACGACGAUGUUCAAGGGUGUCGCUUUUCUUCUUGGAGACGUCGGUCUACGAUUGCUCCUCCACUUCCCCCUACUCGCCUUCCGGGUGAAAACCCUAACUCCAAUGGGCGGCGGCGGCGUCCUUGACAUCGUGAACUUCCUGAAGGCGUCGCCUUGAGGGCUGACUGGUGGGGGGCACUGUGUGGGUCCUUGACGGUUGCUAGUGGAUGGCAUUUCUUCGGAGGAAACCCCGGGACCUAGUCUUCCAGAUCGUACAAUGGCGGUACCGCGGUGUCGUUUCUCUCUUGGAAGCAUCGUUUAUGGAUCAGCGCUGGAUGACAGAGGCAUGAGGAGGAGCGGCUUCGUCUUGCACGGAGCUUUGCUGGAGUUGUCAAAUCAUGUGUGGCCAACAGGUGCUACCCCUAGUCAUGCCUGGUUGGCAGGUGCUAUGCACGACAGUUCUUUCAGAGUCUUCGCGUGUGGACAGAUGAGUGCAGGGCGGUGGCGUCGUUGGGCGUCGCGGUGGCGUCGACGGAUGUUCAGACUGGUAAGGAUGGUGCGGAUCUCCCUUCUGAAGAUGGGUCAGUGGUCCGAUGAUGAUGUUGGCUUCUAAAAGGUGUGCAUGUGGUAUGCGUUUUGUUGGAGUUAAUCACGUCUUGUGAUUCCCUAGCCGGGUUGGACUAGGACACGGUCACCGUAUAGGAAUUGUAUUGGCUGUAGCUAGCUAAUAUAUAUAUGUACCCCUACCUCUUGUAACAUAAGAUUGUGUUCAGAUCAAAGCAAUAGAAUCGACGGGACCGAGACGGUCCUGUAGCAAUCCAAUCUCGCAUGUGUUCUCACUGGAAUAGCUAGCCUCUUGUGGUAUAGUGGUAUACGUACGUGUUGUGGCGAAUCAAUCAAGCUGCUUGGUGAUUGAUAACUAGCUAGCUAGCUUUGCACUACGGUGUAUCUCGCCGUAAAGAUAUCUCGUCGAGUUCGGUAGUCAGCGUUGCUUCGCUUCUUCGUCGUUCGUCACCAUCGUCGGAAAGUACUCGGCGUCGGGUCUGGGCCAACAAUUGGUAUCUAGAGCAAGGUUGAUCUUCUAGUAACAGAAGAUCAUGACGGAGGACGACAAAGCCAAUCAUAUGGCGGCGUACUCCGGUGCGGCUAAAGUAUUUGCUGCUCUGGCUAGUUCGUCGUACCCAUGAUUUGAUCGCGAGAACUUUGGGGUUUGGAAGGCCCUAAUGGAGUGUGGUCUCCGCGCCAAGGUGUUGUGGGACGCAGUCGAUCCAGGAGGCGACGCUUUCAAGAAGGGGGGACACGAGCACUCGAAGGAUCGGCAUGCAGCAUCGGCGAUUUAGUCGGUGAUGUCAAUGGAUGUCCUCCAACACCUGAUCACCAAAGAAAUGGCGAAGGAGGUGUGGGAUACCUUGGAGCUCAUGUUCGAGGGACACGACCGCGUCAAGCAAGCCAAUCUCCAAACUCUCUUAAGGAACUAUGAGACUUUGGUCAUGGGCGACAAUGAGUCUGUGGACGCAUUUGGUUCACGGGUAGCUACCCUCGUCAAUCGGAUCCGCGCACUUGGAGAGAAUCUAACGGAGGCCUCGGUUGUCCGUCGGUUCUUGCGUGCGGCUCCUCCCCGGUACCUGCAAAUUGUCACGUUGAUCGAGCGGUGCGUCGAUCUCGCGACCCUGUCCAUGGAUUAUCUCGUCGGACGCUACAAGGCUCACGACGAGCGCAUGCGGUACAGUCUCGGGGACGGGAGGAACGAUGAGCUUGUCAUGCUCACGCGGGCUCAGUGGCAGGCGCUGGACUCGAGGAGAGAAGGUGAGAGCUCUAGCAGUUACACUCGCCAAGAUCGUGUGCCAAACAAACAAAAUCAAAAGGACGCCAGCGAUGGCACUCCGAAGAAGAAGAAGAAGUUCGACCAGCGCAAGAUCAAGUGUUACAAUUAUGGCAUCAUGGGGCACUUCAAGUCGGAGUGCAAGAAUCUCCCAAAGGAGAAGGCGCUCAUGGCCCAGCAAGGAGAUGAAGGUGACAUGAUGUUGAUGUGUGAACUCGUGGACGAGGAGGAUCCAGUUCUUCAAGUGUCGGCUAAAGAAAUUGCCGCACUGCGUGAAGGAAGAGUUUGCUCUCAAGGUCAUGGUUCGGAAACCCGUAUUGAUGCUACGGAUGCGGGAGGUGAUUCCGAAACUUACAUCAAUGCUAUGGAUGUAAGUGCCAACUUUGCUGGAGCGAAGGAAGCGCUCAUUGCAUGUGCUCGGCCGUGGAGAAGCGGCGUUGUUACAGACAUGAGGGGUGAUUUCAAAACUCGUGUUGAAGCUACUGACGUAAGACAUAAUUCUGAAAUUUAUGUCGAUGCUAUGGACACGGACAUAAUUACUUCAGCAUACUUGGCGCCUGAAAACCACGAAUCAAAGUAUGCUGAUGCAAAAGUAAGCACGUGUGCACCAACCAUGUUACGUUGUCUAGUAAUAGACGAAGACGUGAUGUCGAAAGUCCACAAAAAGGCAAAGCGUACAUGCGAUGUGUCGCUGAGCAGAACAUGCAAGCUAGGUGAUGAUGGAGCUUGUUCUGAUGAAGCGAGUUCUACGACCGCUCGAUCGGGAAGUUCUGGAGGCGCUGUUAUACCGUUGGAGCAGACGGGCCGAAAGGAGAUGGCCUACCCAACCAACCGAGUUGCUCAGAAGUGGACACAUGGCCUGGUGGCCAGGCCAGCUCACAAGCGGCGUGUGGCACAUGCAAAGAGGCAACAACAACUGUUGGGCGCUCCCCAUGUGAUGGUGAUAAGUAUGCACCAGCAAACCUAGCUGGACAUGGCGAGCUGCCACUGGAAGGUGGCUCGUUCAGUGGAGGUCUAGGAGAGAUGGUGUGUGCAGUUUUGCCAUGCACGCACACUGCAACAAGAAGAGACGGGAACGGCGAGGUAAUGCUAGCAGUGCCUGUGGAAAAGGAAGAAAGGACACUGCCAUCUACAUCCGUGUUGCUUCAACCGGAGCUACGUCUGUAUCUGGAGAAAACUGUUCAGACAGUUGACCCGCUGAAAAUGAAAGGGAGUAGGCGAAUGUGUCUAGCAAUUGCCGAGAAACCGGCAGAUUUUGAAGACACGAAUACGAAGAAGUGUUGGCGUCAUGCUAUAAAAGAAGAGUUGGGGUCGAUCCACGACAACAAUGCAUGGGAGCUUGUGGAUCUUCCCAACAAUGAAAAAACCAUGGAGCUCAAGUGGGUAUUUACGAUCAAGAAAGAAGCCGAAGGAAAUUGUGUGAAGCACAAGGCGAAGCUAGUGGUCAAAGAGGACAUGCAAGAUGAAGGUGUGGGCUUUAAAGAAGUGUUCGUUCCCAUUGCACAGAUGGAAUCGGUGAGAUUACUCAUCGCUCUCGCGGCACAAGAAUCAUGGAAGAUAUAUCACAUGGAUGUAAAAUUCACGUUUUUGCACGGUGAGAUGGAAGGAGAUGUGUAUGUGAAUCAAGCACCGAGCUUCAUCAAAGAGGAAGAAGAACACAAGGUAUUGAAGGCACACAAAGUUUUGUAUGGGCGACGGCAAGACCUUCGGGCAUGGAACAUCAAACUUGAUCGGACUUUGAUUUUUCUUGGAUUUGAGAAAGCCCCACUCGAGCAUACAAUGUACAAGAGAGGUGAAGGAAGUGAUCGUCUACUAGUUGGAAACUACGACGAUGAACUAUUGAUUAUCGGAGCAGAUGAAGAGGUAAUUGCAAAGUUCAAGCUACAAAUGAAGGAGCUUUUCAAAAUGGACGAUCUAGGUCUUUUGAGUUGCUACCUCAGACCAGAGGUACAUCAUAAGCCGGAAGAGAUUACAUUAAGCCAGGAGGUAUACGCAAGGAAGGUACUUAAAAAUUGUGGCAUGAAUGGUUGCAAUCCAAUUGAUGCUUCAAUGGAACCUCGUCUUGAGCUGAUCAAGAUAAUGAAACUACUCGACUACUGUGGUAGUGACAAGGAAGGAAUUGCUCACGCCCGUAAGAGUACCUCGGACGUGGCAUAUUUUCAUGAUGAAAGCGUAGUAAGCUGGCUAUCACGAAAGCAAAAAAGGUGACAUCGACUUCAAGUGAAGCAGAGUGUCAAGGUGUGUGGCUAGGAAGGCUACACGGUGAUCUCAUGGAUCGAGAUCCGGAACAAGUGGUGCUCAAUAUUGAUAACGAGUCUAUAUUUUUCUACGUGAGAAUCCAGUGCGACAUGAUAGGAGCAAGCACAUUGAUACGAUGUAUCACUACAUGAAGGACUGCGUGGAAGAAGAGAAGGCGGAGGUCAACUACAUUCGCACCGAUGAUCAGUUGGCGGACAUCCUGACCAAGGCUUUGAAUCGGGAGAAGUUUUUGGAUAUGCAAAGAAGGAUCAGCGUCCAAGCUGUGACAUGACGACGUCGUGAUUAGGGGGGUGACUGUUGGAGUUAAUCACGUCUUGUGAUUCCCUAGCCGGGUCGAACUAGGACACGGUCACCGUAUAGGAAUUGUAUUGGCUGUACCUAGCUAAUAUAUAUAUAUAUAUAUGUACCCCUACCUCUUGUAACAUAAGAUUGAGUUCAGAUCAAAGCAAUAGAAUCGACGGUCCUGUAGCAAUCCAAUCUCGCAUGUGUUCUCGCCGGAAUAGCUAGCCUCUUGUGGUAUAGUGGUAUACGCACGUGCUGUGGCGAAUCAAUCAAGCUGCUUGCUGAUUGAUAACUAGCUAGCUAGCUUUGCACUACGGUGUAUCUCGACGUAAAGAUGGCGAAUCAAUCAAGCUGCUUACUGAUUGAUAACUAGCUAGCUAGCUUUGCACUAUGGUGUAUCUCGACGUAAAGAUAUCUCGUCGAGUUCGGUAGCCAGCGUUGCUUCGCUUCGUCGUCGUUCGUCGCUAUCGUCGGAAAGUACUCGGCGUCGGGUCUGGGCCAACACGUUUUAGGUCUGAUGCAUCGGAUGUUGAUCCCGAUACGUUAUGUGGAUGGAUUGGUGACGACACCGGUUUUAGAUAUGAGGAAUGAGAGCACUCCAUAUUAUUGAGUUUGUAGGUGUGAAUGAUGGCUUCGGAUGGAUUGAUGUAUGUUCUUAUCAGAUCUUUAUGAAAUAAUUAAUAAAGAUGGCUACAUGCAUCGAUUGAUGCAGAGACCGGGGUUUAACCUCCUUUUCCAAAAAAAAGAAAUUCUCUCUACUUUAAUGAAAAGGCNNNNNNNNNNNNNNNNNNNNNNNNNNNNNNNNNNNNNNNNNNNNNNNNNNNNNNNNNNNNNNNNNNNNNNNNNNNNNNNNNNNNNNNNNNNNNNNNNNNNNNNNNNNNNNNNNNNNNNNNNNNNNNNNNNNNNNNNNNNNNNNNNNNNNNNNNNNNNNNNNNNNNNNNNNNNNNNNNNNNNNNNNNNNNNNNNNNNNNNNNNNNNNNNGUGAUGAUCGAAAGGCCAUUUUGUCGUCGGAAGUUGGUGUACACUAGUGGGGACAGGGCCUUUAGUCCCGGCCCGUAAGGGGCUUUAGUCCCGGACCAAAGGUGCUCCACGUGGCCGCCUUAGAGGGAGUACCUUUAGUCCCGGUUCUACUUACGAACCGGGACUAAAGGAUCCGUCUGUUUUUUUUCUCUCCACUUUAAUGAAAAGGCAGAGUCCCAGCAAUUGCUUGUCCAUAUUUCAUGAUACACGGUACACGUUAGACAAAAGAUGUGAUGAUCGAAAGGCAAUUUUGUCGUCGGAAGUUGGUGUACACUAGUGGGGACAGGGCCUUUAGUCCCGGACCAAAGGUGCUCCAUGUGGCCGCCUUGGAGGGAGUACCUUUAGUCCCGGUUCUACUUACGAACCGGGACUAAAGGAUCCGUCCGUUUUUUUUUAUCCAAAAAGGUAGAUUUUUUUUAAAUUUUAUUUUUGAAUAUUUUUUAUGUUUUAUUCCAAUUUUCUAAUCUUUGAAUUAUUUGACAAUUUAAUCUCUAAUCACCCAUCCUCACUGCUCUAGCGUGGAUCACUCAUUUCAAAUCGUCUAACUUCCCGGCCGAUCACCCAUCCUUUCACUGCUUCAGUCCGAGCACGCUUAACUUUCUGGUUCUAUCGAACCUAGUUGCCAAGUGUGCACUUGUUGUUUUCCUGACGAUAGUAAGCUAUCAAUCCUAAACAACUUGGGUCUUGAUGUCAUGUCACAUGAUUUAAUUUUUUGAAUUACAAACAAUUAUUAAAAUAAACUUAAUAAGUAACAAUAAUAGUGAAUUUCAAUGAAAACAACCUAAUAUUUUUAAAUAAAAUUAUUUUUCUUUUUUUUUUGGAAAAAACUUCUUUUUGAAAUAACUUUUUUUCCAUUUGGAAUUUUGAGCAUGUGAGAAAACUUCACCGGGCAAGCCCGGGUGAAAUCAAGUACCAAUUUUUUCUAGUUUUUUUUGAUAUAUUAAUUUUUUUUGGACGUCGUAUGCAAAAGUUAUGAUCGUUUAUUUUUUUCCUUUUUUUGCAAAAACGGUCAAAAUUCAUAUCUCAAAAUUUCUAUACCGACUAGACACUAAAACCUAACAACAUCUCAAAGGAUUUUCUUUUUUGAAGAUUUUAUCAUUUUUGUUUAUUUUUUGAAGAUUUUAUCACUUUUGUUUAUUUUCUACAAAACUCAAAGUAUCAAGGUUUCAGACGAAAACCCAUCUGCUACAAAGGCAUUUUUUAAAAAUUAAUUGAACUGUAGAUUUUUUUUGUGCAUUAAAUAUACACCAUACUACAACAUGUUAAAAUCUACAGAAAGAACUAACUAAAAAUAAUAAAAAACAACAAUUAAAUGACUAAAACAACUAUAUAAGCAAAAUAAUAUUUCUUUAAUUAAAAUCCUAAUUUAAAUUAUUCUAAAAAUAACCAAAUAAAUCUUACUGUGACAACAAUCUAACACAUGAGUGGGAGCAAAAAGAAUUAAAUUAAAAACUAUUUGUAAACUCAAGGUUUUCAAAAACUGGGUUUGAAGCAAAUUUAAACAAAUUCAAAUUUAAACCAUUCAAAUUUGAAAACUAAUGGCACAAACAGAAACUAGACAAAAUGUUGAAUCUAAUGCAAAAAGAAUCAAUCAAAAACAUCAAAUAUCCUAAAAGAUAUAAGCAAUUUAAAACAGAAACUACAAACAAGAAUUUAAAAACAGAAAAAAUAAAUCUGAACACCUUUAGUCCCGGUUCGUGUCACGAACCGGGACUAAAGGUCUACCCUUUAGUCCCGGUUCAAGACACCAACCGGGACUAAAUCCUCCAAACCUUUUAGUCCCGGUUCGAGACACGAACCGGGACUAAAGGUCCAAGACACAAACCGGCACUAAAUCCUCCAAACCCUUUAGUCCCGAUUCGAGACACGAACCGGGACUAAAGGUCCCAUUUGAACCGGGACUAAUGCCCGACCGACGCCUUUGCUGCUCGAACCGGAACUAAUACUAACAUUAGUCCCGGUUCGUAAAGGAACCGGGACUAAUGUGUUUUUCGAGCUGAGACGAAAGCCCUUAUUUCUACUACUGGUAAUUUGCAUAUAAGAUAUCGAAAGGCAAUUUUGUCGUCGGAAGUUGUUGUAAUUUGCAUAUAAGAUAUGCAGAUGCAGGAGGAAAGACUAGUUUGCUGAGUUCUAUUGUCGAGCAUUUAAGCUCAUGGGGUAUAUGGAAGGGUACUAGAAACUAGAAAGCUAAAGGCCCAACCAGAUUUGGGAAGGGCUAGACACGAGGCUGUUCAUUGACGGGCUUGAGGCUCGAGCCAAGCUACAGACGUUCUUGCAAAGGAGCUGCGUCAGAUACUCAGAUAGUAGACCAAACACAGAUUCGCCCUGGCGUUGAGCGUCAGAUAGUUGAGGAAACAGAGUAUAGUACAUCUGGGGACCGGUCAGGGCAAGUCUGCUGCUUGUUGUGGCUGUCAUGUCGUACAUAUAUAUUGCAACGGUCUCAUGGAAGCAAACUGGGGUUGGCUCACUGACCUUCAUCAUGUCCAAUAAUAUAUUUACACGGUGGGUUUCACCAAUCUAACAAAGUAAUAUGAUCAACAAUCUUUGGAACUACACGUACAAAAACAAAAAUGGGCUGGCCCUCCAAGUCGAUUGUCUUCAACAGACUUGGCCAAACACACUAUAGACAUGCUGGUAGUACAAACAUCAACCACCUUCAGCGGUGCCACACGGUUUAUGUCCUAGCUAAAGACUUGCAUGGCUAUGUCGCGUUGCAGCUGGUUGUCAUUGGCAGACGACACCACUUGUUCUCUCCCGUAAGGAUCGGGUUGGAGUAUUCCUGCCAAUCGGCACCGAUGACUGGGUUCAGCUAAUACUAAAUGGGGACUCACGUUUAGAUCGAUGUUCUGAUUAUAGGGCGUCGACUUCGUAAAGAGACCACCUUGCUUUAUGCCUUACGACGUCAAUAAUCAGAUAUGCUCAGAAGAGGCAGCGUGUCUAUCAAGCUGCCACGUGAUAAACUUGCUCUUGUAUCAGGAGCAUUGCCAACACCAUGCUCCUAUAGAAUCAAGUUUCAUCGUCACUAGAGUGUCAUAGAAUAAAACACAGCGGCACAACAUGCCCUCGGGAGAAACCUGCCACCUAACAUGUUGGUUUCCUCCAAUCUCUCACCUAAAUGUUGCAAAUGUACUGACACUUAUGAAUAGCAUCAUUAUGAGAAAUUAAGUACAAUGAGUGAUUGCUAGCGAGCUAGCUAAUUGAUAUACAAUCAAGUGCCAAUGAUAUCCUUUUGGAAUAUAUAUAGUGACCCUCCAUCCCUGCAACAAUGCAUGAUAACUCAUACUCACACAUUAUAAGCAUGAUUAGAUAGGAACACAAGGCGUAUAGAGCAUGAUGAAACCUAAACUGCAUGUGUACAUCACGAGAGUGUUUUUUGCAGAAUCGUUGUUGUGUUUCAACCCAAGUCCCUACAACUAAAGUAUUGUGUACUAUAUGGAGAGGAUGACAUUAAACCUUAAAGCAUUACAUAAGAGGACUUUAUUCACUGGAAGAAGAGAUGGUUAAUUUGCAUGAUAUCUAUGCAAGCACGUUGUUUGUUCUGGUUGUCAUGUAAUGCAUGCAUUGCAUAGGUUUCUACUCUCGUAAAGAAACUCAGACAGGCUCGUUGACCUGCAUGUACGUACACAUGCAUGUGCAUGUAUAUACACCAUGGGAUCCAUCAAACUAACAAGAUAGCAUGAUCAUCAACCUUUGGAACUAUAUUCUUUUUUAAAGGAGGAUUACUCUAACCUCUGCAUCGGAGUGAUACAUGGCUGCCCUGCUUCUGUGUGUUUGCGUAAGACGCAAGGAGAGCUCCUUAUCCGAUUGCAGGGCGUCAACUUUAGCGACAACCUUGCUUACGACUUACGCAGAACUGCUCACAACAAGCUCCACACGCAUCAAACUCAAAGGCGAUGGACCGGCUGUUGUAUCCGGUGUCUUGCCAACACCUUACACCUGUAGGUCCAUGUCACCUAAUUAAUACUGCAUCAUUCAAGGAAUCACAGCCACACAUCUUGCACUGGUUGUGUCACUGUGGGAGAAGCCCACUCGCUAGCAUGUUGGUUUCCUCCAAUAUGUCACCUAAGAUUUGCCAACUUUGCAGAUAUAGUAGCACUGAUGAAUAGCACCAAUGUGAGAAAUUAAGCACAAAGGCUGAUUUGCUAGCUAGCUAGCUAAUUGACAUACAAUCAAGUGGCAAAUGAAAAUCCUUCGGGAAUAUAUAUAGUAAUCCUCCGUCCGAACGGUUACACACACACACAUAAGCAUGAGCAGAUAUUAUCUCAAGGUGCAUAAAGCAUGGUGAAGUCUAAACUGCAUGUGUACUGUGUACACCAUAAAGCUGUUCUCUGCAAGAAUUCAUCUCACUCUACAUUGACCUAGACAAUUGAAGUAUCUAAUACGAAUAUUGUAUGAUACACAGUCCAAUCUAGAAAACAAAGAUGUGAUGAUCCAGUACCAACUGAAAGGAGAAAUCUGUUGACGUUGGAAAUUCAUGUGGUUCCAUAUAAGAUAGGCACAUCCGAGAGCGUGUCAAGCAGUUAGACUAGAGCCAUAUAGUACGAAAAUUGAUUCCUUUUACAGUAUAUCAAACCAUUCUGGACUGUUUAUUUCUCUGAUUGAAUAGCCCAGAUGCGGCUAUUCUACACUAGUCAAUGGUAUUUUUGGUAGUUCAGUUACUUAGACUGAAUUUAAGUUUUUCGAUGGACGUGGAGUAUUUGAGCUCUAGCUCAAAUGCAUCCACAUGAACAGUAAAACCAAAAAAAAAAAUCAAAAAAGACCCAAAAAAUCUGAUUUUUUUGUGGUGAACUUUGACAAAUGUUUCAAGUGCUUGCAAAUUUUUAUCAUGAGAUCACAUUCGAGGAAGGCAUGACAAAAGAACAAAAAUGAUGCUUUGAAAAUGCUAUUUUUAAAAACAUUUUGGAACACUGAUUUUGCUUCUUUUUUCCACGCCUUACAUGAGUGUGAUCUCAUGAUAAAAAUUUGCACACACUUAGAACACUUGUGAAAGUACACCAUGAAAAAAUUUCAGAUUUUUUUAGCAUUAUUUAUUUAUUUUUGAAGUACCUGUUCAUGCAAGCUCAAAUGAGCUCAAGCUCAAAAGGAUACUUACCUUUUUCGAUGAAGUUUUAUGCAUGCAGACAUAUCCAUUUUGUAUAUGCAUGUAAUAUGAUGGUUGGCGAUGAAAUGGUUUUUCAUGAAUCACAUCCAUUCCGGUCGGCAAAGAUGCCAUGCUUGCCAGGGUGGGUGUUGAUACCUGAUUUUCGCACGAAAAAGUGUUCAACAUGAAAAAGUUUUACAUCGCCGAAUGGAACAACUUUGAUGUUUAGGUCAUCAUUGUCCAAGUUAUCUUAAGGGCCGAAAUUAUACUCGAAGUGGCAGAAUUUAACUUCCCGAGUGUUGUUGGGCCAAUUACGCCUUCAAGACAAGUUUUCUACAUGGACUGUCUUCGUCUCGUCAAAACGAUUUAUUUUGAUAGAAAGAUCAUUGCAAUUCGAGUUUAGAUGCAAAAGUUAGAGGCAACGCAUUGCGAACGGACCCUAUGUAAAAAAUUGACACGAGGGAUUAGACAACCGCCUAGGAGAUGUCUGGUGGGUCGCAUGAGCUAUUCGUCCAUCAUGACAGCCUUGAAUAGAAAAAAUUUCAGCACACAAAAGUUUCUUCUCGUCGAGCCGAUCGAUGUUGAUAUGUAUAAAUCGUCUCAGUCCAAGGUCGUAUCCAACCUGGAGAGGCAAUACAAGAUUAGGUAGGAUUUUCAGUCAGGAAAUCCGAGUAAAAAGUUUGCCGGCUGAGUGGAAAGUUGCCGGCCAAGUGAAAGGUUUGUUGUCCAAGUAAAAAACUGUUUUCCGAAUGAAGAAGUAUGAUUGUGCAAUCCGUGUGAAGGAUCCUAAUAUCCGACUGAAAAUAUACAAAUCGGGUGAUGUUGGCUAAUCCAACCAGAAGCUGAAGAUGGGUCCAAAAGGUUAUCUAGAUAGCUUCGGAUGAAGAAGUGUUCAACACGGAAGUUGUGUGUAUCAUCAAAAUGGCCAACUUUGCUUUUGAGGUCAUUGUCAUAUGACAUAGUAUACAUGCUGCAAGGUUGCUACCAGACUCGGAUAGUCCAAGGAGCUGCAUGACCGAGUCCGACUCGAAGUUAAAGAUGCCCCCGUAGAGUUUUGAAGAUAGCCUUAUUUUGAAAAGUGAACACCAGAAGUAUUGUUCAUCUUGUUGUGGCGCAUAAAUUUGGUAUUUUACUGGUCUCAAUCGAAGGUCAAAUGCAAAUUCCACGGCCUGCACAAGGAACAAUAAAGAAGUUUGGCCAGAUUCGAGUUGAAUCCGAGUUGGACUAAAACUAGGAGUCUAGGACAUCAAUUGAUGUAAUUUUUUUAUAAGAAAAGUCUAGAUGAAUCGUUUACUUGUACAUGAAGUCCAGCCGCCUUUUAUAUAUGUUGAAGGUGAUGACCCAUUAAAACAACACACAAUCGAAAUAUCAAUAUAUUACUUUUAUAUCUAUAUUUUAUUUCUCCAUCAUUUUUGUCUCUCAUUCUUCAUUCUUUCUUAAGUUUGAGAGUUGUGAAUACUGAGGCUCUAGGAGCGAGCGAAUCGACCUAGGGAAGCCCAUAGACGUCGCACUCCUUCACGGGGUCCUUUCCGGACAUGCGGAGUUUUGUGUCUGCAAAAGCGUCUGUCGGUUGUCUUGCGUGUCGCGUUGCCGAUCGGACCUUGGUCGACAUGAACUGCGGUGCAUCAACAGUGAGCUCAUACUUCGGUUAUGCUUCCCUGCCAGCACUAUGAUUGGAACCAAUCCUCACCGACAUCCCUAUAUAUGUUGGGAAGGUUUUUUUGCAUCCUCUGAGUCAUGCCCUAUACAGGGAAGGCAAUCUAAAAAGAACUGCCAUGGCACGUCUUAGGGCAUGUUCGUUUCCUCGAAUCUCUCCUCUGAACAUUCCAAAUAUACUAGCACUAAUUAAUUAGUGGAACCAUUCCAUGAAAUUCAGCACAUAGAUUCGUUAGUUGACAUACAAUCAGGUGCCAAAUGAAAUCCGUCCCGAAUUUAUGUAGUAACCCUCCGUCCCUGCAACAAUGAGUGCUAACUCAUACACACACAUAUAAGCAUGAGCAGAUAAGCAUGAGCAGAUACAUAGAGAAUGAUAAAAGUCUAAACCGCAUGUGUACAACACCAAAGUGUUAUCUGCAAAAGCCAGCAUGAUCGGUCCCAAGGAGCUGGUCAUCGUAACUUUUGUGAAAUGUAAAAACGAGAGAAGGGAAUAAAAUGAUGGAACCGUUGCUUUCAUUGAUGGAUUGGGAGUAUAUAUACCUCUGGUACAAGGCAGUUACAAAGAGAGAGUUGCUACAAGUAGCAACCGACAUAGCGGGGAUUAACCCUUUAAUUAAUCUAAUUAAUUUAUUUCUAACACUCCCCCUAAUCACUGCUUGUCUUGGAUAUUUAUUAUCUUGAUGAAGACUCCUCUUUGUAUGUGUCUUUAAGAAUGUCCAUCAUCUUCGUGAAAGCCUUUGUAUAAUCUUGAAAGUCUCCCCCAAAAAUCCCGUGGGAAAAAUAUGAGGAGAAUAGUGUAGAUAUGUUGCUAAAACUCCUUUAAACCCGGUGGGAAAAUAAUAAGGAGAAAAUAGUGCAACAUAUAAUGAUUAUUGUCUCUUGAUAACUCAAUCGAGAAAACAUUUGAAGAAGGAGAAAAAUCAAUUGUGAGUUUAGAGAAUAAUUAAUAUGUCUUAAAUACUUCCUUUAAAAACCCAAUAUGGAAAAUAGAAAGUAUGGCAUAUGAUUUUGAUAAUAUAUUGCCUCAUUAAAAACCUUUUUAUGAGAAAACUGAUGCAAAACUCAUAAAGGAAAAGAGUACAAUAACUAUUAUCUGGUGAUAAUUAAUGGGUUAUGAGUUUAGGAAUUUCUCCCCCUGAAAUUUGCAAAUCUCGAAUACGUCUCAUACCAAUUCCAUGAAUAUAUUUCUGGAAUGUUGAAUUUGGUAAAGACUUUAUGAACAAAUCUGCUAGAUUGUCACAUGAUUUGGUUUGCAAAAUAUCAAUUUCUCCAUCCUUCUGUAAUGCAUGAGGAUAGAAUAACUUAGGAGAAAUGUGUUUUGUGAUAUUACUUUUCAUAUAUAAUAGUUGGUGAUCCUAAUGAACCAACACCACAUGAAGUUUGAAUAUGGUUAAUCAUCCUGCGAAGCCAUACACAUUCCUUAGAUGCUUCAAAUAAUGCAAUAAUUUCAGAAUGAUUAGUGGAAGUUGCUACGAGAGUAUGUUUUGUUGACUUCCAUGAAAAAGCAGUUCCACCAUAUAAGAAUACGAAACAUGUUUGUGACCUGGCAUUGUGAGGAUCAGAUAGAUAGCCAGCAUCAGUAUAUCCUACCAUAGUCAUAUCUUGGUUUUUCUGAUAGAAUAAGCCAAGAUCUUUUGAGCCAUGUAAAUAUCUAAGGAUAUUCUUUACUCCCGUCCAAUGACGUUUUGUUGGAGGAGCGCUAUGUCUAGCUAGUAAAUUUACUGCAAAUGCAAUAUCAGGCCUGGUGCAAUUUGCAAGGUACAUUAGCGCACCAAUGGCACUGAGAUACGGGAACUCAGGUCCUAAUAUCUCUUCGUCAUCAUCCCGAGGUCUAAAAGGAUCUUUAUUCAUAUCAAGGGAUUUGACAACCAUGGGUGUUUUGGUUGGAUAUGAUUUAUCCAUAUUAAAUUUUUCCAAAACCUUUUGAAUAUAUGCAGGUUGGUAUACUAAAAUUCUUGAGGGAAGAUGCUCAAGCUGUAAGCCUAAGCAGAAUUUGGUCUUUCCCAAAUCUUUCAUCUCAAAUUCCGCCAUUAGAUGGUUGUGUGCUUCUUCGAUAUCAGGUGUACUUCCAAUGAUAUUGAGGUCAUCAACGUACACUGAGAUGAUGAAAAAUCCAUUUGAGGACUUCUUUAUAAAUACACAAGGGCAAUCAUCAUUAUUUGAGUAGCCUUUCUGAAUAAGGAACUCACUUAGUCGGUUAUACCACAUUCUACCCGACUGUUUUAAGCCAUAUAGUGACUUUUGUAAUUUUACACAAUAUGCGUUGCGAUUUGCUUUUGGAUUCGGCAUUUUAAGUCAUUCAGGGACUUUCAUAUAUAUGUCUGAUUUGAGUGACCCAUAUAAGUAUGCUGUCACUACAUCCAUCAACUGCAUAGAUAAAUUCAUUUGUACUGCCAAAGAUAUUAAGUAUCGAAACGUUAUUCCACUCAUUACAGGAGAGUAUGUAUCAUCGUAAUCGUUGUCGGGUCUCUGCGUGAACCCUUGUGCUACAAGCCUCGCUUUGUAUCUCACCACCUCAUUGUUUUCAUUCCUUUUUCGAACAAAAACCCAUUUUGCUCCAACAGGGAAGAAAUUAUGAGGAGUAGGUAUUACCGAGGAAAAUACCUCUCUUUUGUUGAGCGAGCACAGUUCUGCCUCAAUUGCUUCCUUCCAUUUAGGCCAAUCAGGACGCUUGAGGCACUCCCUGACGGUCUUUGGUUCCGGAUCCAGUUGAAGGGUUUCAGCAAUUUCAGAGGCGAAAUAUAUGUCGACAAUUGUAGUCUCUCUAUUAUAUGAUUCUCCUGAUUCUGUAUAGUUUAUGGAAAAAAAAUUAUACCUUUAGACUCUAUGUGAUUUCCCACAACAAUAGAAUCAUGGUGUUCCGAUGUCCCAGCUAUUAUGUUUUUAUGCGCAUUUAUGCUAGGUUCAAGAUGUUGAGCAUCUGGUUGGUGUCCUUCAACUUGAGGUUGAAUUGCAUUUACUGGUAGAGGAUUUGAUUUCCUCUGUUUCCGCGGAGGCUUUUGAGAAGCUAUAUUCCGACUAACUAGAUUUCUCCCCCUCUUAUUCUCAUUUGGGGUUUGAGUGGUUUUAGUUGGUACCUCCACUCGUUCUGGUGCAUUAACAGCGGGAAUAUGCGAUUUAGUGACACCUUUAUGGUCAGUAAAUGCAUCUGGCAGAUUAUUUGCAAUGUGUUGCAAAUCUAUGAUCCUCUGAACUUUAGUUUCAGAUUCUUUAGUACGUGGAUCUAAGGACUGAAUGCCUGUUACAUUCCAAUCUAUUUCCUGGCAUUCUUUGUGGUUUGAUUCUCCCCCUAAUGCCGGGAAAUGGUCCUCAUCAAAAAUUGAACCAGCGUAGCGGGCAGUAAACAGGUCCCCUGUAAGAGGUUCAAGAUAUUUAAUAAUUGACGGAGAAUUAUAACCCACAUAGAUCCCUAGUUUUCUGUGGGGGCCCAUUGUGGUACGCUGCGGUGGUGAUAUCGGUACGUAUACUGCGCAACCGAAUUUCCGCAGAUGGGAAAUACUUGGCUGAGUGCCACGUACUAGUUGCAGUGGGCAGGUUGUAUGAUAUGCAGUUGGUCUGAUUUGUAUUAGAUCUGCGGCGUGUAAUACCGCAUGUGCCCAACAAGAUGCUGGUAAAUUACAAUUCUGUAAUAGUGGUCGAGCAACUAAUUUUACUCUUUUGAUGAGAGACUCAGGCAAACCAUUUUGACUAUGGACAUAAGGCACAGAGUGUUCUAAAUGAAUGCCCAUAGCCAUGCAAUAGUCAUUGAAUGCACGUGAAGAAAAUUCAGUGGCAUUAUCCAUUCGAAUUGUUUUUAUCCAAUUUUCAGGAUGAUUUGCUCUUAAUUUGAUAAUUUGAGCAAUUAGCUUGGCAAAAGCAUGAUUUCGUGUGGACAAUAGACACACAUGUGACCAUCUAGUAGACGCAUCUAUGAGCACCAUGAAAUAUCUAAAAGGUCCUGAUAGUGGUUGAAUUGGACCACAUAUAUCUCCUUGAAUGCGUUCAAGAAAAUUUAAUGACUCAUUUUUAACUUUAAGAUAAGAUGAUUUUAUAAUUAAUUUUUCAGUUACACAUGCGGUGCAUACAAAAUCUGAUGAUUUUGGGAAUUUUUUAGUUGGAAGGCUGUGACCAAUAGAAUUGUCAAUAAUUUUUCUCAUCAUCCCUAUGCCAGGAUGACCUAGGCGAUCAUGCCAAGUCUUGAAUUUAUCAAGGUCUUGAAAAAUUAUUUUGUACGCAACAUGUGAUAUGGGCUUUAUAUAACUGUAAUAUAAUCCAGAUGAAAGUGAGGGGAAUUUCUCAAGAAUUUGUUUCUCAGACCCAUUACUCUUUGUUAAAAGCAAAUGUUCAGAAUUAUUUUCAGAUAUUGUUUCUAAAUGGAAGUUAUUUGAUCUGAGGUCUUUGAAACUUAGAAGAGUGCGUGUAGAUUCAGGAUACAAUAGUGCAUCCUCAAUUACAAUUGUAGUAUCCAUAGGUAGAACGAGUGUGGCUUGUCCUGAACCAAUAAUCGACGCAUCGCGACCGGCGAUGGUCAUAAUAUUCCCUUUUCUCUUAGUUAGAGUUUGGAAAUAUUUUAUUUCCCUUAAUAUUGUGUUAGUGGUACAACUGUCCACCAAACAUAAUUCUUCUUCCAUUGAAUUAUUUUCCCGUAAAAUCUAUAUAGAGUAAGAGAAUAUUUUAGGAUGAAACUUUAUUCAUAUUACUCACAUAUAAAUAUAUAUAUACAAAGUAUUCAUAUUACAGUUACAAAUAUAAAUAUGAUAUUAUGUUUGAGCUACAUAAUACGAUUGGUCCGUAGGACUUUAUUCUACUUAGAGUUAUACAAAUUAUAACAUCCAUUAUUACAAUAAAAUAGCUGAUAACAUCAAAUGAGUGAUGUGGAGAUUAUAUAAGAUCUCCAUAUGCGUCUUGGGUGUAUUCCACCAUCAUUUUGUCAACAUCAAGAAGAUCUUCAUCCUUCUGCCUUGUUUCCUUAGGAGCGCUUUGAGAAGUGCUAGCUUCAAGGUUUUCUUCUUGUUGUAAGGCGUUGAAGUGAGCUUCGGCUUUUUCAUGAACUUGUUUGCCUUUCCCAGUGGAUUUGAUGUAUAAAUCCGCUAGAUGCUUGGGAGUUCGGCAUUUGCUAGUACGAUGGUUAGUACAUCCACACCUUUGACAAAUCUCAGAGUUGGUGUUUCGGUCAUUUUUCUUAAAGUGACCUUUACCUUUAGAUUGACCAAAGAUUUUCUGCUUGUUGUUCCUUUUCCACUUUCCAUUGAAUUUCUUGAAAUUCUUUUUGUUGCCCCCAUACUUUUUAGUAAACUGAGUGUUAGCAUGUGCUUUAGGGAGUGGCAUUGAGCCCGUUGGGCGUGUCUGAUGAUUCUUCAUGAGAAGUUCAUCAUGUUUCUCAGCCUGAAGUAAAGUAUAUAUGAGUUCAGAAUACUUUUUGUAUUUUUGUUGACGGUACUGUUGUUGUAGUACUCUCAUCGAGGGGUGGAAAGUGCACAAGGUUUUCUCAAUAAGAUCUUCUUCGGAAAUUGCUUGAUUGCAAAACCUUAGUUUUGAGUUAACCUUGUGAACUGCAGAGUUGUAUGCUGCCACAGAUUUAAAAUCUUGGAACCUUAUGAGGGACCAUUCUCUCUGUGCUUCCGGCAGCAUAACUGUUCUUUGUUGGUCAUAUCUCUCCUUGAGGGAGUUCCACAAAGCUAGUGGAUCUUCUUCCAUCAAAUAUUCCGACUUUAAGUCCGGAUGGAGAUGGUGCCUUAAGAAACUUAAAGUUGUAUAUUUGGCUGCCGUGGGGAUUUCUCCGGCGCCUUCAUCGAGUGUGAUGAUAGUGGAACCGAGUUUACGGCUUUCAAGGGCUAUCUUUGCAUCCAUAGCCCAUGGUAAAUAGUUACUACCAUCUAGUUCAAGUUUAUGAAAUUCACGAUGCAUGACACCAGCCAUUUCCUGCAUGGUAUUAUCAUGCAUAAUUUUAGUUUUACUAUGAGAGUAAAAUAUAAGUUACAACAAAUGCUUUGGGGAAGCAAAAUUUUCAAGUAUAGCUGAUGCUUUAAACUUGUAUGUGUAGACCUCAUUUUAUGUAUAUGACACUUUAAAGAUAGUCACCGUUGGGGUGUAUAUCUCACAGUAGUGGAGAACAUAGUCUGGUUUUAACCAGUAGAUGUUCAUAUGUCCAUUAGCUUGUGUCAUACUAUAUUUUACAAAAACACAUUGAAAGUAGUCAUCUGUCUAAUGACUAGAUGUAGACCGCACAGCAAGAGUGGAUAGUCUUCAAUUUGAUGCAGUAGAUCACACAAUUACCUUGUGAUUUGCAAGUAUCAUAUUCGAGGUAAUCACAUCAAUUCGUAUAUUUUGGGAGAGCACUCGAAGAUAGUCAUUUUGCCAAAAGAAUGGAGGCAAAAUGUAGAUCUUUCAGCGAUAAGGAUAAUCUGCAAAGUGCAGUAGAUGCCUCAUCUACCUUGUGAUCUUAAAAUUUGAAUUGUGAAUAAAAAUUAUUGUACUUACAUAUUCUAAAAGAAAAUUUCUGAAGCAAUCAAAUAAAAUAUGUACACGUAGUAGUCUGAGACUUUAUUUAUUACACAAUACUUGGUCUAAUUAUUUAAACUUACAGUACAAUAUAGACUGAAUAUAAUAAACAGAUGUUUUUAAUACAAUAAAAUAGCACUCUCGAAUGAACAGGACUGGUUGCUAUGUAAUAUAAAUAAUACUAUAGACAUUCUUUGUUGAAAACGCCACAGCACCAGCAGCACUUAUUGGAUAUAUUGGCUUGUAGGCCUCAGGGGCGGACCCACGUUCAUGGGAGUGGGGGCCUAGGACCCCACUCAAAAUAUGAAACUCCAGUUAUAUUUCUUUAAAAUUUCAGAUUUUUUUGCCAAAACUAUGUAAAUUUAUACAAAGUUUGCCCCCACUCCUAUUGUUUGCCCCCACUUAAAAUAGUUUCUAGGUCCGCCCCUGGUAGGCCUAUUUAGGUGAGGAAACGUGGCCUGGUCCAUGCACGUCACUUUAUUUCUUGGCCUGUAGGCCAUUUGGAGAGGAAGCGGGCGUGCGAGCAGAUAAGGAAACAGAGAGAACAGCCACGCAUCAGGGUUUCCCCAGAGCGCUGCUUCUCCCGUUCUCAUCCCGUGCUCGAUCUGGUGCUUAGCACAUUACCACGCCAGCCCUCCUCUCCCCAUGGCUUCUUCUUCAAGGGAGGCAGGGUGCUCCCCGCACCGCCGCACGACCACCGCCGCAGCUGCUCGCCCCGGGGGCGCCGGUGAGGCCGAGGGCCGCCGGCGACCACGCGCCCCGGACUGCAGCACGGUUCAGCGCCAUGGCCGCGGCGUACUGCCGCAGGAUGCGGCGCGCCUCUGGCGGAGGCGUGGGAGGGAGGGGCGAUGCUGGAGGCGGGGGCGGAGUCGCCGGUGAUGGUGGAGGCGGCGUCGACGACGAGCCCUGGCCCUCUUCUUCUUCUUCCAUCUUGAUGGCACCGUUCAGAUCGGGAACAGCGGGGUAACCGUCUGUUUUUGCUGCUGCCGGCGUCGAGGACGGCAGAUCCGAGACGGGGCCAUAUCCUGGGGGAAGUGGUGCUCCGGUAGUUCGUUUGAUGGCGUCGGCGACGGAAGCCGCGGUGGUGCGCCCGUACGCGUUGGGCACGGUCCGAACUCGUGCUGCAUGCAGUACGGGGGUAGAGGUGGCAGCGCGAGUUCGCAAGGGAACAACUCUUCUCCUCCGAGGAACGGCGCUGAUGGUCCUGCAUGAAGCCAAUCCAUCGGAGGGAUGUUGAAGGCAGAUGGCGGAGUGGCCGGUGCGAUGUAGUCGCCGGCGACGGCCGGAGCCGAAGGCACGGCCUGAUGUAUUGCAGGUAUGUCCCCAUUUGCAGCAGGGGUCGGAGCGGAGGAUCCAGCCCGGUGCACCGUCGGUGCUUUCCCACGUAGUGGGUGGUUGCCUCGCCGGGCAUAGCCACGACGACGGUUCUGGCGGUGGUUCCUGGCGAAGAAGCGACGACGAGGGCCACUCCUUGCACCAAGUCCCUGACGGCGACGUGCAACACGGUGGCGAUGGGUGCGUGGAAAAUGAUUGCUCUCUUUCUACAGAAAGCGUGCAAAAGCGAAAGCAACCGACGGCAACUCCCUUCCUGCCAUUCUUACCUUUCUGGUGAUGGCUCUCUGUCGCUCUCGGCAGAGCAAGUGCUGAUAACGUGUGGAAUGUAAAAACGAGAGAAGGGAAUAAAAUGAUGGAACCGUUGCUUUCAUUGAUGGAUUGGGAGUAUAUAUACCCCUGGUACCACUACUGGAAUAUGCUGGUUUGCCGACAGCCAGAGCUGACGGCAAAGGACAGUUUAACUGAUGGCAAAGGCUUUGCCGUCAGUGUGCUGUCGGCAAAGGUACCGGCCAAGAUUUUAUCAGCAAUCACCUUCUUUGCCGUCAGCUGAAGGUCGACCGACGGCAAAGACUUUGCCAUCAGCUUUGUGGCACGGGCUGACAGCAAAGAAAAGUGGCGGCAACGGCGCAGGCCGAGCUCCGUUAGAAGGUUAACGACAGGCUUUGCCCACAACCGUAGCAAAGCUGGCGGCAAAGCCGAAACCCCUGGGUCCCCUAGGUCCCAUCUUGCCCCACACUCGUAGCAAAGAUGAUGGCAAAGCCGAAACCCCUGGGUCCCCUUGGUCGCCUCUUUGCCGACAGCUGGAGCACAGCUGACGGCAAAGCCGAAAAUCUGGGAAAAUUUUGUAUUCCCAGAGUUGUCAGGAUACACAGGCUGCCGCCACGUGUCUUCUUUGCCGUCAGUCCACCGACAGCAAAGCCGUUGCCGUCAGUAAGUUGUAGGCAAAGACCUUCUCUGCUUUUUUCAUAUUUGUUUUCUGUUAAUUCCCUGCAUUUGCAAAACAUAGAUACAAACAACAACAUAUAUAUUUGCCCAGCCCCUAAACAGCACCACAAGUGCAUCACAAAGUGCAAACAGCACAACACAAGUGCAAACAGCACGAAUAUAUGUAAUUAAAGUGCAAACAAGAUCACAAAGUAUUACAAAGCAUCACAAGUGCAUCCACAAAUACAAUUGCAUUACAAAGUUCAUCUAAGACUACACAAGUGCAUUACAAAGUCCCUCGACAUCCAUCCAUAUGCCAUGCUGCUUUAUCAAAAUCUGCAUAAUGAGAAAGAAGUUAGAAGAAGAAUACAAUAAGAAAGAAGUUAUCUAAAUUAAGCUAAGCAAUUAGAAGAAGAAGUGGAAGAAGAACAAGAACAAGAACAAGAACAAGAACAAGAAGUGGAAGAAGUGGAAGAAGAAGAAGAAGAAGAUAGAGAAAAAGAAAGAAGAGAAGUUAUCUUUUUCUCCUCUUUCUUCUUCUCUUAUUUCUUCAUCUCUUGUUUGUUCUUCUCUUCUGGUUUCUUUUAAAACUUUCUAAACUAAUUAUGUCAUUUUUGAGCUCUAAUAUCAACUAGAAUUUACUAAGCUAACUAAACCAUGGCUAAUAUCAACUAGAAUUUACUAAGCUAACUAAAGCAUGGCAUAAUCUAAGUUGAUCUAAACAAUAAGAAGAAUAAGAAGGAGAGGAAUAACUUACCGAAUGCCAAGAAACGGAGGAGAAGCUCCAUCUCCGUUGGUCGCUGGGUUGCUAGGGCUCUCACCAGGAGAAGUAAAGGGAUCGUGUGAUUCAACUCUGGAAUGAUGCUGCAACAAGGCAAGAGUUAAAAUAUGUGGUUAGCACGGCGACAGACAAUGGUAUAAGACCGUGCAAGGUUGGUCAUUGAAAGGGAACUCACCGUUCCCACCGGAGAAGGCAUCGGCGGAGGGGGCGGCAAACCUUGCUUCUCACACAUAGCCUGCAAAUUAGUUUCCGAGGAGUCAAAGAAAUAGCCUUGUUGCGUCUCACACAUAGCCUUGCUUCUCACACAACUGACUUACCGCAACGAAGUCGUGCAUGGCCUUCGCAUGGGCAUUAUUGCGUGCCCUCUCCUCCUCAAGCAACCUCUGCGUAUUCCGGUCCCUCUCGUCCAACAAGAGCCUGGUGGCCUCCCUCUCCUUCAUAAGUGCGGCCUGCAACCACUCCUCAAAAGGAAUUUUCAUCAUCCAUCCAGGGACAAAAGAACGAAAGAAAUAAUGAAGAAAACUAACCUCAAUGGCAAGAUCAACUGGCCUCGCGCGUUGCCGUAUUACAGGAGCGGAGCUCGUUUGCCUCGACUUGAUCUGAGAUAUAGUCUCAGUGAUACGGACGAAGCCAUCACACAUGGCCAGCGUGCCUUGACUCUUAAAGCCACCAGAGAUCAUUAACGCCUCUGGAUCGAUAGGAUUCUGGCUCGGGUCAAAGUCAGGCCCGCGCAGCUGUUUGACCACCUCAGAAUAAGACGUCAUCUUGUUGUAGGCGGACAGGCUUGUGUACGCCGACGACCCGUCCCCCUGAGAAUAUGCCUUCGCCGUCUUGUACGAGCCCUUAUGGGCCAUGCUAAACGCGGCGUAUCCCUCAGGCUCGGGCUGGUUAUUGUGUUUGGCCUACACGAAAAGACAAAGAAUUAGUACAACAAAAAUCAUGAACAAACGAAUUAUUGAUGAAACAAAACAAGGCACACAUACCGAUUUUUUGGCGUAUUGCUUGAUGUUGGCAUUGCCUUGGUGGUGUGGCACACCAACCAAUUGGGCACGACGGUCCUUGGCCAUAGUGUGGAUGCUCAACCAAGCCUCUGUGCACCACCUAUCCACUAUCAUCUCCCAACAAUCCAUCUUAUCGGCCAACCAUCUCGGGGGCACCUAUGAAUGUAAGUUAAUGAAGAAUGAAACUAAGUAUUAUAACUAAAUAGACCUAACUAGCCCUAAGAAUUGAUCUUUGGAAUGUACAUACCUCCAUGUACUCGGUCUUAUCAAGAAAAAUCUUUCGACAUUCAGUCUUUGUCUUCGGCUCCCCUUGCUUGGCGUACCAAUCUCGAACAGCCUGAACACGCAGCUCGUGCCUUGUGUUAUUCAAUAAACUCUUGCACUCUUUCACGAGGUUCUUCUUGGACGCCUCCUCCGUCCCCUCCUCGGCCCUAAAGUAACUCCGCAAUUAUGCCAAAUAGAUGCACAGAUGAAUAGUGAAAUGAUUUGGAAGGAAAUAACAAUAUAUAACAUUGUAUACUUUUUAUUGGGUAAAAUAAUAGUUACCCAAAAAUCAGCCAACACCUUGUCGGCCACGCUCACGCAAACAACACCAUUGACAUGUGUGUUUUCCGGGAGCAGAGCGGCUUGGUAGUGCUCCCACUUGAGUCCUGGCUCGGGAACCAUACCCUCACCGGGCAACUGCACUAUCCCGGGGAAGUGCUCCCUAAGUAAAGCACCAAGGAGGCAGUUUGGAUUCCGGGUAUUCUACGGGUAAUCCCACCCCCUACAUAAUGAUAAGGCAAAGACAUUAGCUACUUGGUGAAAUAUAAUGAUAUAAGGUACACAAUAUAUAUCAACUUACUUCUCGCCAUCUGGCUUAAUGAACGCCUUGUGCUGCAACUCCAAUCGGUCUGGAACUCGUGUCAUACCAUGUUGGUAGACCGACUUGCUGGCAGCCCCCUCAGCCUCUGCCUCAGCCCCCUCCGCCUCAGCCUCCGCCUCAGCACCCUCCGCCUCAGCCCCCUCCACCUCAGCCUCCGCCUCAGCACCCUCUGCCUCCGCCUCCGCCUCAGCCCCCUGCAUCAGUGUCUGCUCCUGGACGGGAGGAUCCCGCACCGGUGACACCCUCGUCUGCAAGGGUGAAGUGGCUGAGACAGAAGUAGCCGAGGGUAGUGGCGACUGGCUCCUAUCAUGCAGCCUCCCUCUCCCACGACCAUGUCCUCUGCCUCUCUUCUUUCCUACGCCUCUCCCACGGGGCUCCUCGGCAAAGCUCUGCAACAAAGUUCUCCGUAGCUGCCCAGGUGCUAUCCUGAACUUAUCCCCGCCUGCCAUGUCUCACCACCUGUAACGAUAAAUAGUUAAAUAAUUAGUACAAAUUCAAGGACAAUAAUUAAAUGAACAAUAAUAAAUACAUGAAUAAUUCAACUAAUAAUUGAAUAAUUAAACAACAAUGUUUGGAUGCAUACAAAGUACUAAUAGUCUGGAUCAUCUGUCUCUUCUCCAUGGUCAAUUGAAGCAAAAUCAUCAUCAGUAUCAUACGUGUCGUCAUGACUGAUAUCGUCAUCGGGUUCAGGGACAUCAUGUGGAAGGCCUUUUUGUAACCGAUCAAGCAUUGAUAGCUCAUCAGCAUUGGUAACUUCUUCUACUUCCACUUCUUCCUCAUCAUCACGUGAGUCUUGUUCCUCCGUGUUCAGGGUGGACGUAGAGCAGUUUCGGGUACGACGUCUGACACCACGUGAUUCUUGGAAGAAUUCUCCAUCAUAUGUUAUUGGGUCAAUUUGAGGUUCAUAAUCGUCUUCAUUUGGGGGAGGUGGUCUAAGAUGUGGCGGCACAUCGAACACGACAUACCAACCUUCUAGGUUCUUAACACUUUGACGACAGUAUGGCAGAUAGAAAACUUGGCUGGCCUGUUGAGCCACAAUAUAGACAUCGGCACCGCUUAACUGCCUGUCUUGUCGAAUUUCGACAAUCCCAAGAUGUUCAUGAGUCCGUCUUGUCUUAGUAGGAUCGAACCAAUGACAUUUGAACACAACAACAUUUGGAGGAUUUUCACCAUAAUAAUGAAGUUCGUAGACUUCUUCAAGUCUUCCAUAAUACUCGACACCUCCCUCGCCUAUAGCAGAGACACCGGAAUUGUUUGUUUUUCGACCGGGCAUUGAAAGCUCUUUGCUAGCAGUACGAAAGCGAUACCCGUUGAUGUCGUACUUCUGAAAUGUACGGACUUUAAAGUCAAAACCAUUAGCUAUUUGUCUCAAUUCAUCGUCGACUUGCUCAUCUGAAUUAGCCUAGAAGUUAAGAAAAGAUAGAGUUUGGUGUGUUACCCAUGAGUAAUAGCAACAAAGGAAAUCACUUAUUAUAUAUAAGGGAGGUACCUUUUUUUAAACCAAGAGAUGAAACCGGGAUAGCCGCCUCCUAUCUUUUCAAGAAGUUCAUACUCGAGAAUGGAUUCUUUUUCGAUUGCAACACCCAUUCGAGAAUUGUUCGACGUAUCGGCUGUAUCAAUUAAUAAUAGUUGUUAGACACAAAACUUGUUAAAAGUUGCGAAACAAUGUACAGAGUACUUACUUGAUGUAUGGCCGAACUUCUGUUAAAUUGUUCAAUAUAUACAUCGUUAGUGUGCGCCACUCCUCGACACACAACAACUUUGGUUUUCCCACACCAGAAGGUGCGAGCUUCCCUUUGAAAAGGCUGAGAUUGGAUUCACGUCGUUUGGGGUCGCCCAGAUUGUACCGAGGCUUUGGAUUAUGCAGGCUGUGCAUAGUGGCAUCAUAGUGUGCUGUUACGAAGUUUGCCGCCUCCUCGGUAAUGAACGCCUCGGCCAUCGAUGCUUCAAUUCUACGUUUAUUUUUACAUUUUCCUCGAAGUGUCUUCUGCAUUCUUUCAGUUGCGUAGCACCAACGAUUUUGCACAGGGCCACCCAAUCUUGCCUAUGUUGGGAGAUGCAAAAUCAUGUGUUGCAUCGGAUUAAAGAAACCCGGUGGAAAAAUCUUCUCUAACUUGCAGAGCAACUCAGGCGCCAACUCUUCCAUGUCAUCUAUCAAGACACGCGACAACUCUUUAGCAAAAAGAACACGGAAGAAAUAGCUCAACUCGGCCAAUACUAGCCAUUCAGCCUCGGGGAUAUAGCCACGCAACAUCACCGGCAUUAUCCGCUCAAGCCAUAUGUGCCAAUCAUGACUCUUGAGCCCAAAAAUUUUCAUUUUUUCAAUGCUCGCUCCCCUCGCUAGAUUCGCAGCAUACCCAUCGGGGAACAACAACUUUUUUGCACCCACAAGAGGAUUUCCCUUAUUGCUCCCUUCUCAAGAUUGUACCACGCAGGUGGUUUGGACCAAUUUUUUCUUCCUUUCGGUUCUCGCAUGUUUAGUGAUGGCCUAUCACACAGAGUCUCCUGGUCAACUCUAGCCUUUAUAUUAUCUUUGCCCUUAUCGGUGCCGAAAAAUGUGCCAAGAAGGGCCUCGACGAUAUUCUUUUCAGUGUGCAUCAUGUCAAUGUUGUCUGGAAGUAAGAGGUUUUCGAAGUAGGGGAGAUCCCAGAUGCAUGGCUUGUGGGUCCAGGCGUGUUCCUCAUUAUAACCCAAGAAAUACCCUGGACGGUUUGGAUCAGGCUCCAUAGAUUUUAACUGUUCAUUAAUUUGUGCCCCCGUCAACGCAGGUGGUGCUGAGUGUUUGACAACUUUACCUUUCAUGAAAUUCUUCUUGUCUUUUCUGAAUGGAUGGUCCAUAGGCAAGAACUGUCUAUGCAAGUCAAAGCAGGAAUACUUCCCACCCGCCGGCAACCAAUGAAACUUAAGAGGUGCCUUGCACUAUGGGCAUGGGAACCUUCCAAGCACACACCAGGCAACGAAAAGCGCAAAUGCUGGCAGAUCAUGCAACGAGUAUUAGUAUCAAACAUACAUUUAAAAGUUCUCUUUCUUAGCUGUGUCGUAUGUGUUGACCCCAUUCACCCAAGCUUCUUUCAAGUCAUCCAUCAGCGGUUGCAUGUACACACUCUUCUUCCCCGGGUAGUUUGGCCCUGGAACUAUCAACGUCAGAAAUAUGUGCUUUCUUUGCAUAAUGGAUGAUGGUGGAAGAUUGAGGGGAAUGACAAAUACAGGCCAGCAACUAUAUUUGGUAGCCGUCAUACCAAAAGGAUUGAACCCAUCGAGGCUGAUGGCGAUUCGACAAUUCCUUGGUUCUUUAGCUUUUUCCUGAUGUAUACUAUCGAAUGCCCUCCAUGUGUCACCAUCUGAAGGGUGUACCAACAUCGUAACUCCGUGUUCAUCUAAUUCUUUCUUAAUUCCAUGUUUGUGCCAUGUCAUUUGUUUUGUUGUUUCUUCGAGCAUGUAAAGUCGUUGAAGUCUUGGUAGGAUCGGCAGAUACCGUAGGACACUCACGGGGAUUUUACUCUCCUGCUUCUCACCUUCACCGUUUUCUACCUCAACAUAUCUGGAGGACUUGCAAAAUGGACAAUAUGUUUCGUCCGCAUACUCUUUCCUAAAUAAGGCACAUCCCUUCUCACAAGCAUGUAUCUGCUCAUACGGCAUCUUGAGUGCACUAAGGAUUUUGUCUGACUCAUAUAGGUUUGAAGGCAUAAUAUGACCUUUUGGUAGAAAGCGCCCAAAUAGGGUCAUCACUGAGUCAAACAGGUCUCUUCCAAUGUUGAACUGGGCUUUCAGAGCCAUUACUUGUGCGAUGGUAUCUAGCUGAGAAAUCUUAGUGUGCUCGUGAAGAGGACGUUUUGAAGACUCCAACAUGGCAUAGAAGGCUUUCGCGGAUUCCUCCAUCUCUUCAUCCUUGUUCCGAGCAUCAUCAAAUUCAUUCACCAUGUCUUCAAUCCCUGUACCAUAAUCAUCGGUGCGCCGACGCGACACCUCGUCUCUGUUACGUUGGGCCGACUCACCAUGAAAUGUCCACAAGGUAUAGCCGGGAGUAAAACCACGCAUCUGCAGGUGUUUACCCAUUACAUCCUUUGUCUGUCGCGAAUAAUUCUUGCACUUAGUGCAGGGGCACCAUGUUUUUGGCUGGCCUUUAGAAAAUGCCGUUUCCACGAAUUCAUAGGUUUUGCUCAACCAUUCAUCGGUCAUAUCUCUCUCACUAUGAUGACGGGUGUACAUCCAUUCACGACCAGUCAUUCUGGCAAGCUAGCUACAUAGUAUCCACAUAUAAAACAAUAUAAAUUAUCAAUUCAUCAAGUAUGUUAAAUUAAUUAUGGCCAUUUUUUAAUCAUGGUUAAUACAUUGGGAUGCACGGCAUGCACACCUACCAGCUACUAGGUAAAGAUGGGUCCUAAUCCCACCCGAGUAUGUGUAGAUUGGGUCAUUUCCCCAUGCUCUGCUCCCGACCCAACGCAAAAUUUCGGCAGCACCUCCUCGCUGUUCUCCUGAUACACGUCUCGGCAACUAACCGAGAGGAUGUGUACCCGGAGAACAACAAGGAGGAGCUGUCGAAACUCUGCAUGGGAUCCGGAGCAAAGCAUGGGAAACGACCCAAUCUACACAUACCCGGGCUGUCCAAGGAUAACGUUGGAUAAUUCAAAAGAAUCACCGUUAUAAAUAUGCAAAUGCAUGCAUAUUUAUGACAGGAACCCUUUCAAACGGGAGACGCAUAUUGGUUACGCAACACCUUUGCAUUUUAAUACUAAAAAUACGUAGCUAGAUAGUGUCAUCAGCACGAAGGCCGGAACAGAGCAAAAUAAAGAGGGUGGAGGAGGAGUUAACAAAUGUGCUCACUUUCGAAUGCAGGGGAGGUCGUCGAAAACCAAUCCCUCGCGGAGAAGCUACUGCACGUUUAAAUGCACUCAAUCAACACAAAUACGCACUCGCGGUAAUUAAAUAAUUGCUAACUAAAUUUAACUUUUCUCCCCCUUCUACUUUCUCUUUUUCCUUUUCUUCUUCUUCUUUCUCUUUUUCUACUCGCGGUAAUUAAAUAAUUGCUAACUAAAUAAUUCUCCCCCUUCUUCUUUCUCUUUUUCCUUUUCCGUGUUUGGUUGGGGGAGUUGGAGGUAGGGAAUGGGAGUUUAAGAUUAAUGAGACUAAAAAAUUUGUUGAUUGGUUCAGGGACUUGGGAUUUAACCAGGGAAGGGGAAGGGGAAUUACUAGGGCCAACUCCCAUCGAUCUCUACCCUGGGGAGCCCUGGUAAUUCAGCGAAGGAAUGGGAGUUGACGUGUGAAAACAUAUUGUUACUGAUUUUGUGGCCCACCUCCAGAAGCAAAAGAAAGAAAAAACUACGAACAAACUAGCUAAAUGCAUGCGGCAGCAUAAUUUCUCCUCUAAACAAACCGGCCAACGCUAACUACUUUCUAAUCUACGUCAAAUAGGAGCCCAUCUCUCGUAACCUACCCUUCCUUUUUUUUGUUCAUAAGAAUUAUUCCCACAGAUAAUUCCCAACCAAUACCAACCGCUGGAUUGGGACUAAAUAGUCCACUACCCAUGUAAAUCCCUCGGCCAACUCCCUCUCACAAAUUCCCAGUCCCUUUCCCAUAAACUACCAAAGACGCUAAGUACCUCCUUCUAAUUGCUAACUAAAUAAUUGCUAACUNGUGGGGCUGGUGCGGGGCGGCGCGGCGGGGCGGGGCGGGGUGGGGCUGGUGUGGGACGACGGCGGUGGGUCGGGAGAGCACGGAGAGUAGGGAGAGCAGGGAGAGAGAACCGGCCGUUAGGGCAUGCAGUUAGGUCGUGUGCACGGGGGAAACAACGGAGCUAUGCCGUCAGCUAGCUGUCGGCAAAGACAACCGUUAGGCUUUGCCGUCGGCUGGCUGUCGGCAAAGCGGUGCCCCAUUAAGCCGUGGUCGCACGUGGGACCGGGGAGCUCCCUAUGUCGUCAGUCUCCCUAUGCCGUCAGUGUUUUUCGCCUUUGCCGUCAGCUGGCUGACGGCUUAGACAAAGCGGACGGCAUAGAUUAUCUAUGCCGUCAGCCUCUCAUAUGUCGUCAGUACUUAUUUUGGCUGAGGGCAAAGUCUCUUUGCCGUCAGCCCCGUGAAAUUGCUGACGGCAAAGCUGAAAGCUGUCGGCAAAUUAUGUUUUUCCAGUAGUGUACAAGGCAGUUACUACAAGUAGCAACCGNNNNNNNNNNNNNNNNNNNNNNNNNNNNNNNNNNNNNNNNNNNNNNNNNNNNNNNNNNNNNNNNNNNNNNNNNNNNNNNNNNNNNNNNNNNNNNNNNNNNNNNNNNNNNNNNNNNNNNNNNNNNNNNNNNNNCUACAAGUAGCAACCGACUUAGCGGGGAUUAACCCUUUAAUUAAUCUAAUUAAUUUAUUUCUAACAACUUUCUAGCAUGUUUGUCAACCUCAACCCUUUCUUACUUCAUGCUUUGCUGUCAUCAAAUUUAUGUUCCAAAUUCUACUCCAAGAGAAAAUGUGCAAAAUAAACAUGCCUAGCCAUAUGCACAAUGCAUGAAAGAAUAAAAUAAUUGAUCUCAUUCUAUAUUGGCGUAAACAAUAUUGAAAUCUGAGAUGGGCUUAAGGCCCACGAGACAAUUUCAUAACUCUCCAAGGGCUCAUGUAGGCGAUGGUAUGGCAAGGGGUGGUGGAAAGUUUAGUCUCACCUCGUUAGUGGAGAAGGAGUUGGACCCUUUUAUAAGGCUCUCUCUUCUACAUGCUAUUGAAGCAUGAGAAGAGAAGAGGCCCUCGCGCACUCCUCCUCCGUCGCCCGCAUCGCCGCGGGAAUGAGCCGAGCGCGAGCUCAUACCUACGUGCUUAUUUUUACCGAUCAAGCUGGCUCAUGUACUCCUGGCGCCACUACUGUUGUUGUUGCGACCAACUGACCGACUGGUGGGUAUAACUCGUUUAUCCCGCUCCUACUUAUUAUUGUCUUAGGCAUAUUGAUGAUUUGCCUAUAUAUAUCUACUAUCUGUCUCGUACGUGAUGUCAUGAUCAAUUAUCAGUAUGUCAUGCUAGUGAUUAUUUUGUGGAUUAAUCUAAUUGAAAAUUUUCUUAUUUACUAAACAAACAGGUGAAGUAUCUGACAUGAACAUGAUACAGGGGACAAUCUUGAUUUUUUUAUAAUCCAGUAAAAAUCGAAAGGAGAAAUUUGUUGUGGUUGGAAGCUCAUAUAGUUCCAUAUAAUAGAUACACACAUGCAAGAGGAACGACUAGUUCGCACUCUUGCGUGUAAUGAAUUAGACCCACGAAGUACAAGGAUUUCCUUGAGAGAAAAAUUGAUUUAAAUCGGAGAUAUGGAAGGAAACGAGAACAAGAACUCUCCAAUUUGUCCACCUUUUGCAUCACAGUGGACACGUGAGAUACUCAAAACCCAUAGCAAAACAUCUCAUAAAAAGCACCAUUCAAGAAAUGGACCGCAGAUUGAGAUGAGCCAUUUGGAUCAAGCCACAUCAGAAAAGGAGACAUCCAUAGUGGAAAACAUGGCGAUAUGCUUGCUACGUUUUGCUAAUUAAUGUUGCUUAGCUGUAGUGUUGAACUUUGUUGGAUUUGUUUAGUAGCCCUCGUAUCCCCAGCCCAUUACGUAUUCAGGUUUCAAGUGUUGUUUCUUGCAUUUCUUUUUUAUUUAUUUCAGGAUUUUCGGCGAUACGUUUUUGGUGAGAGGAGACGUUUCUGUUGAUGACAAGGCGCCUACAAUGACUUCGUAAAUCUUAAGAUGAUAUGUCGACUCAUUCUUUCGAAGGUGCUUAUAGAAAUAGGGUAUACAUGUAUAUGGUUAUAGGAAUGAGUGUAUGCGCGUGUAUAUGAUCGCUUAGAAAAGAUAGCUGGCUUCGCCCCUGCCAACGCUCGUAUACGAUUGAUGUGGACGUCAAGACAUGCCGCGUCUCCUUAACAAAGAUCGCAAUCCCGUAAAAAACAAAGAUUGCAAUCCCUAGGGAACAAUAGACCGCACUUAGUGACACUGCCGGCGGUACACUUUUGUUACUUCAUCUACGAAGGCUUGGCCUUCAACUAGAUAUCUGGACGUAACACGAUGAUGGAGGGGCUGAGGAUGGUGGUCUGUGGCUUUGCACUCCAGAUGUCGUGCUAUGUUACGAGUAUGGUGGGGUUCUCCCUCACUUACAGAUACGAACUUGGAUACAAAGGAGAAAUGAAGGAAGACGAAGCAAUGAAGUGUUCUGGUUCUUGACAAAUCUCUCCCCUCUUCUUUCCCUUACUUAUCUUUUUCCCUGCUGGACUCGCCAGGCUCUGUCCAGCUGGCGAUUGACAAUGAGUAUGGCGCGGCUUAACCGUAAGAGCAUCUCCAACAGCCGCGCUAUACUAGCGCCGCGCAGCAAAAAAAGGGACUAUAGCGCGCGCGCAACGCGGCCGACAGCUCCAGCGGGCGCGCAAAAAACGCGCGCGCGCUAAAACGAGUUGGACGCGCUGGCCAUAGCCUCAUCCCGCGCGGUUAAUUUCGGGCGUCCACUUCCGCGCGCGGCAGACUCGAGCGCGCGCGCGAACUCGCCCUUUCCUUCCUCCUUCGCACACGCGCGCGCCGGCGCCAGCGCCCCGGCCACCAUGGACGCGCACACCGGCGCCCCGCUGACCCCGCUGUACAGCCGCGACCCUCCCGCCGCCGCAGCCGCCGCCGAAAACCCUAGCGCGGCGAGCGUUGGCGCAGGCGCCGCCGCCGCCACCGGAGCUCCGCCGACCGUCGGCCUCGCGCGCAGCCUCUUCUUGCCGCCGCGGAUGACCACGCCGACGGGUGGCGUCGCGCCGGCGCCGUCCCGUGCUGCCGCCGCGCCGUCAAAGCUCCCCAAUGCGUCGGAGCCGAAGAAAGGAAAAACAUCCGCGAAAAAGAAGGCGGCGGACGGCUCCGGCAGCUCGAAGCCGAAGAAGAAGCUUGCAGGGCGGCGGACGGGCGCGGCGUCUACCGAAGCGCCGAUGAGCUCACUCGUUGAGCCGGCGGCCGACGCGCACCACGUGUUUGACGAAAUGCUCCCAAGGUGAAAAAAAUUCCAACUUUUACUUUCUUGUUAUUUUUUCCUAUAUUUGAAAGCUGCUGGAGCGGCGCGCGCUGCAUUUUAGCGCGCUGCUGGAGCGGAGCGCGCGCGCUGCAUUUUAAAGCUGCUGCUGGAGCCAGCGCUGCGCGACGCGGCAAACCAGGCGACCAGCGCGCGGCAAACAGGUUUUUUAGGCGCGACGCGUAGCGCGGCUGUUGGAGAUGCUCUAAGCCGGCAGAGCAGGAAAUUGUUGAUGUAGCAAGAAAGCUUCCUCCUAUGAAUCAUGAUCUGUAGAACGGUCUUUCCAACGUACCUUGACACGAGGUAUGAUCUUUGUGACAGCCCGAUGCCGACGUUCCGGAAGAUUCCCCUCCUAUUCCGUUUUCGUUGUGUGGUUCGUUUGUCUGUCGCAUUCAACAUCGCAUCAUGCGCAUCAUCUGCAUUGCAUCGGCAUCUCCGUUGUCGCCAGUUUUCAAACUUGCAUCCGUUGUUAGUUGCCGGUUCUCGUCGUUGUUCGUUCUGAGCCCGACCGCACUCGCACGCGCCCGCNNNNNNNNNNNNNNNNNNNNNNNNNNNNNNNNNNNNNNNNNNNNNNNNNNNNNNNNNNNNNNNNNNNNNNNNNNNNNNNNNNNNNNNNNNNNNNNNNNNNNNNNNNNNNNNNNNNNNNNNNNNNNNNNNNNNNNNNNNNNNNNNNNNNNNNNNNNNNNNNNNNNNNNNNNNNNNNNNNNNNNNNNNNNNNNNNNNNNNNNNNNNNNNNNNNNNNNNNNNNNNNNNNNNNNNNNNNNNNNNNNNNNNNNNNNNNNNNNNNNNNNNNNNNNNNNNNNNNNNNNNNNNNNNNNNNNNNNNNNNNNNNNNNNNNNNNNNNNNNNNNNNNNNNNNNNNNNNNNNNNNNNNNNNNNNNNNNNNNNNNNNNNNNNNNNNNNNNNNNNNNNNNNNNNNNNNNNNNNNNNNNNNNNNNNNNNNNNNNNNNNNNNNNNNNNNNNNNNNNNNNNNNNNNNNNNNNNNNNNNNNNNNNNNNNNNNNNNNNNNNNNNNNNNNNNNNNNNNNNNNNNNNNNNNNNNNNNNNNNNNNNNNNNNNNNNNNNNNNNNNNNNNNNNNNNNNNNNNNNNNNNNNNNNNNNNNNNNNNNNNNNNNNNNNNNNNNNNNNNNNNNNNNNNNNNNNNNNNNNNNNNNNNNNNNNNNNNNNNNNNNNNNNNNNNNNNNNNNNNNNNNNNNNNNNNNNNNNNNNNNNNNNNNNNNNNNNNNNNNNNNNNNNNNNNNNNNNNNNNNNNNNNNNNNNNNNNNNNNNNNNNNNNNNNNNNNNNNNNNNNNNNNNNNNNNNNNNNNNNNNNNNNNNNNNNNNNNNNNNNNNNNNNNNNNNNNNNNNNNNNNNNNNNNNNNNNNNNNNNNNNNNNNNNNNNNNNNNNNNNNNNNNNNNNNNNNNNNNNNNNNNNNNNNNNNNNNNNNNNNNNNNNNNNNNNNNNNNNNNNNNNNNNNNNNNNNNNNNNNNNNNNNNNNNNNNNNNNNNNNNNNNNNNNNNNNNNNNNNNNNNNNNNNNNNNNNNNNNNNNNNNNNNNNNNNNNNNNNNNNNNNNNNNNNNNNNNNNNNNNNNNNNNNNNNNNNNNNNNNNNNNNNNNNNNNNNNNNNNNNNNNNNNNNNNNNNNNNNNNNNNNNNNNNNNNNNNNNNNNNNNNNNNNNNNNNNNNNNNNNNNNNNNNNNNNNNNNNNNNNNNNNNNNNNNNNNNNNNNNNNNNNNNNNNNNNNNNNNNNNNNNNNNNNNNNNNNNNNNNNNNNNNNNNNNNGCCAAUGCUUAGUUUCGGCCCGAUAGCCAGAUCUGGCCCGCGUAGGAUUUUAUUAAUUUUGGCUAUUUAAUUCUUUUUCAGAAAAGGGCAUAUUUUCAAACGCGUGUAGUUUUAAAUCCGUGUGUCGGAUCGGAGAAUAUUAUAUAUGUAAAACGUGUAGUUUCUCGCGUAGAACCCGAUUAUAAUACUUGCAUAUUUAGUUGACGUAGUUUUACGUGCCGAACGCCUAGUUUAACGUGAUGUCCUAUAUUGUUUCGUCCCGUAUUUAUUUUUCUUGCGGUCCGGAUUGCUGGAGUGCCUUAGGUAAAAUGCCCAUAUUUUAGGGACCAUUUUUUUAUGCAUUUUAGAGCGGUUAAUUGUAUUUUUACAUGUAGGGAUUUUCCGGUAAUUUAUUUUCCCGCGUAUAGGUUUUUUUCUCGCAUUUAUGUGCGGCAUUAUUUUGUGUUGCAAACCCCACAUAUUUUAUAUGUUUUCGGGGUAGAAAAAUCCAUGGAAUUUUUCUGUUCAAUUAGUUUUAGCUUUUGAGCAAGUUUGUUCGCGCGAUAUUUUGCUAUGUUGCCCUUUUGUUUAAUUCGUAGGAUUUAUUCCGUGCAUCGUUUGUCGGAGUUGUCAACUAGAGAGUUAAUCUUGGGUGUUUAGACUAGCCCCUAGUAUUUUUGGUUGCAAUAGAAAUGCAUGUUUAGGUGUGUUUCGAUAGCCCUCAAGUUGCUAGAAAUAGUGCUGAUUUGGAGGAGCUGAAAUAUUUCUAAGUCUGAAAUCUGUUAUAUUUUGUUGCUGUCUUGACUGGCUUGCAUCUUGUGAUCUGUAGCUCUUUUGAGGUUGGUUCAAUGGAGUUAGUUGUACCCCUUGUGUUUCUCUAGCAUGCUGUAAAUUUUUCAUGCCAUUUGGAGUCCUGUAGCUAUAGGUUUUGCUGCUGUCAAUAUAGCUUCAGAUCGAAAACUGCACUUUCAUGAGGUGUAAUUUUCACUAAGUCUGAAAUAGUGUGUGAGAUGCCAUUUUGUGUCUUCUUUUCCUAGUGCUCCUUGCUUCCAUGCUAGUUGUAGUUAGCUGUUCGUAGUAGUGCUUCUUGUCCUCUUCCGUGCCAUGCCUUGCUUGAGCAUAUCGGAGUUGUGUAGCCGUAGUUGUGAGGCGUAGAAAGUGCUAUGUGGCUGAUUUUGGCAGAUUGUAGUGAUUUCUUGAUUUGCUCGUAUCUUUUGAACCGUAGCUCCGUUUUGAUCGUGCCCUACAUGGAACUUGCUUAGAAUCUCGUGUAGUUUCAUUUUCUCUUGUUGGUUGUAUGAUUUGAGGUGCUUGUAGCCGUCGUUGCACGCAUAUUGCAUUCAUGCCAUCAUAUCUUGCGGUGUUUGUAACUUUUGAUCCGUAGCUCCGUUGGAGAUGAUCUCUAUGUGUAGAUUGCUUGCCAUGACGCGUAGAAUCACGUGAACCUAUUUGUUUUGCUGUUUAACAACUAAUUAAAUGCGUCAGUUCAGAUCUGGACAUAAUUGUAAAUUAACAUGUGAGGUCGUUUCGGAGGUGCUAUAAGUCAUUUCCGACCUUAUUCAAAAUGCCUAGAUAAGUAGUUUAAUUUGCGCUUCACCUCUUGCCAUGUUUAACAACAUUUAAUAUUGUCGUGUACCUAAUUGAGAUAGAACGAAAUAAUCCGUAUGUGGAGUUUCGUCAAUAUGUAACUCGUUGCAUAUUGAACUUUACUUAAUGUGUAGUGUUUGAUGUGUGGAUUGUCAUGCCGUGACUUGCAUGUAUUCAGCUGCUCAUGCAUCAUAUGUGUUGUGCAUCAUGUGGUGAAUUUCGUGUGUUGAUUUGUGUUUUCGGUUUGCUUCGUCUCGAUAGAGUACCACAGCGUGUCGGAUUGUGAGGACCCGUUCGACUACAUGGGUUCGUCUACUUCACGGAGGCAUUCUUCUUCCAAGCGGGAUCUCAGGCAAGAUGGUCAUUUCCCCAGAUACCAUUACUAUCAUUACCAUGCUAGUUUUAUCGCUUCUAUCGAUUAUGUCUCGUUGCCUACCACCUGUUAAAUAUCACCCUCUCAACAAUGCCAUGUUAACCUUCAACCUGUUCAACCUAGCAAACCACUGAUUGGCUAUGUUACUACUUGCUUAACCCUGUUUUAGCGUUGCUAGUUGCAGGUGCAGUUGCUUCCAUGUGAUAACAUGGGUUCCUUAUUAUAUCACCCUAUUUAAAUGCUAUUUAAUUUAAUGCACCUAUAUACUUGGUAAAAGGUGGAAAGCUCGGCCUUUAUAGCCUGGUGUUUUGUUCCACCUUUACCCCCUUAGUUUUCGGCUACCAGUGUUAUGUUCCAUAAAUGAGCGCUCCUAACACGAUCGGGGUUGUUAUGGGGACCCCCUUGAUAAUUCGUUUUAGAUUAAGACUGGUCUGGCAAGGCCCAACUUUGGUACUACAUUUGCCUAAUAACCUAAUAAAAUUGCAUAGGGACUUUCCGGACCCCGAGGAUAAUUUAAUCAACCCCCCCCCCCGGGCCAGUGCUCCGCAUGAGUGUUGGUCCACCCACCUACCAGUCGGCGGUGCCACCUCGAGCAAAUCAAGGUUUGGCUACCGUCCACUAUGCAUAAACGGUGUGUCCUGAGAAUGAGAUACGCGGCUCCUAUCGGGUUCGUCGACACACCGGGUGACCUUGCUGGAUUAGUUUUACCUUUCACGAGAUAUCUUGUGCAUCGGGAUUCUGGUGAUGCUUUGGGUAAUCUCAGAGUUGAGGUUUUUCACUAGGGAAUCCGACAAGAUCGCGAGCUUCGUGAUUGAGGAUUUCUAUGCGGCUUGUGGUAAUUUGUGAUGGACUAGUUGGAGCACUCCUGCAGGGUUAAAUCUUUUCGGAAAGCCAUGCCCGCGGUUAUGUGGCAACGUGGAAGCUUUGUUUAACACUGGUUCUAGAUAACUUGAAGUUAACUUAAUUAAAACAUGCCAACUGUGUGCGUAACCGUGAUUGUCUCUUUCGUGAGUUCCUUCUCCGAUCGAGGACACGGUGGGGUUAUAUCUAACAUAGGUAGGUGUUCAGGAUCAUUCAUUUGAUCAUCAGUAGUCACGUCUGUUAUGCGUAGAUCUUCCCCCUCUUAUUUCUGGUAUUCGUAAGUUAGCCUCCAAAAUAUAUGCUUAGCCGCUGUUGCAACCUCACCACUUAACCUUACCUCACCCAUCAAGCUUUGCUAGUCUUGAUACCUUUGGAAAUGAGAUUGAUGAGUCCCCUGUGGCUCACAUAUUACUACAACACCAGUUGCAGGUACAGGUAAAGGUUACUUGGCGCGAGCGCAUUGAUUGUUCAUUUGGAGUUGCUUCUUCUUCUUCUUCUUCAUCGAUCUAGGAUGGGUUCCAGGACGGCAGCCUGGGAUAGCAAGGAUGGACGUCGUUCUUAUUUUUCUCGUUUGUUUUCGUCCGUAGUCGGACCCUGCUCUUACUCUUGAUGAUUAUGUAUUGUACUGAUGUGACUCUGAUGUAGCUUGUGGCGAGUGUAAGCCAACUCUUUAUAUAUCUCUUCUUUUUAGUACAUGUACUUGUAACGAUAUCCAUUCUUGCGACACGACGAGAUGCGCUUCUAUCCCUGACGAGGCCCUCGUGCCAAAUUGAGGGUAGGGUCGCAUCUUGGGCGUGACAAGUUGGUAUCAGAGCAAGGACCGACCUAGGAGCCCCCUUGAUUGAUCGAACUUGGACGAGUCGAGUCUAGUGAAAAAACUUUGAGUCUAGUUAUAUAUCGGAGAGUAGGAUUCUUUUUUCUCCUCUUUUAUGCUCUAGUGAGGAAUCUUGACGUAAUAAUUUAUUCUACUCCUCUUCUCACUCAAAAAAAAAUUAGGAUCACGCGGAUAUUUUUGGAAUCUAUAUGAUGCCGAUGUGACGGAGUUCUUUCUUGGUGCCUCCUGUCUGACUUGAUUUUCUUCCGGGGAGUUGAGCUCCAGGGGAUUCUUGAGCACAUCGCUAUCAUUCAGAUUUCUUAGUAUCUCAGAACGAAGGAUGUUCAUAAUUUCUUCAAUACUAGUAGUGGUGAGAUAACCCCGAUGUCCCGAGUACUGGUGCAGAUUGUUCAGGAGUACUGCCAUACUUUGUAUCGUUGUGAUCACGACGGUCUGUUGUAGAUGAAGGUCCGAGAUUCUGGUUGUGUGUUGACGGAUGUGAUACAGGUGACGGGUUAGUAUAGGAGUUGUGUGAUUAUUACUCCUUGUAUCCGUGUACCAGAUUGCAUGACCAGAUAUUUCGGGAAUUCAUAGGUGGGAAUUCAAGUAGUUGCUUAUAGGACAAUCUUCCAACAAAUGCAUGAUGUUAGGUUGGGGUUCGACAUCUAGUGGAUUCGUUUGUUCACGGUCGACUUACAGCGGUACACGUUGUGUCUUAAAGAGUCCUUGUAGCUUGCUACGACUCGGGAAAACUUCGUAUGUCGGGUGCACUGCCUUGCACUUGAUGGCUACUAUAAAAUCGAGCCCGUGCGAUCCUGUCCACGAAAAUAUCGGACGAAAUCUUUCUCAUGAGUUUGUUCUGGCUUGCUUCAUAAGCCGCACCCUUUGUUUUGUUGAAUGUGGUAAUUCAAGUUGCUUCGAUGUCAAGCGGUGACUUCAGAUCUUUUCUAAGCAGUGUUCUCAUAUUUCUAUGAGAGUGAUAAUCCUUUUGCUUAAUCAUUUGUCUUAUUAAUUCUUGUCAACCGGAGUCGUCAUGUUAAUUCAAUUCAAACGGUGUGCUUCUCUUCAGUGAAUCAAUCCUCUCCAAUUUUUACAAAUCAUUCUCUCAAUUAUUUCCGGAGUUGUCUCAUCUAGCCCAAGUUGUCUUUGUUUUUCCCCAUCCUCCCACCCUUUUCUUCAGUCAUUCAAUUUUCAUCCUAGAGUUUUCUUUUCAUUGUGCUUCCGCUGUCUGUUCUUUUCUCUCUUACCCGGUGAUUCGUUGUGAAGAUUCUCAGGAGCUUCGUGUUCAUCUUUAUUCAAUCUUGUCAUCCUUACCGGUGAAUUCAAUUUAGUUGUCGGUGUCAUCUUAUCCAUUCAUCCUUGUAAUUCUUUCCUAUAUUAGAAAUUCUUAUGAGCCUAUCUUGUUGCUAAUUCCUCUCUCUUUCUAUCCGGAGUGUUAAGAUAUUUUAGAAGUUUUUGUUUCCAAUCUUUUCAACUAUUUUGAGGUGCUCAACCUCAUCAAGUUUUCAUUUCUACCGGUGCAAUAUCUCUCUUUCUAGCAAUCUUUUCAACGGUGGUUUCUUUGAGUGGGCCCAUAACCCACAGAUUCUUUCCCAGGAUCUUUCCUGACGCUUUUAAUCUUUUCCUGGAGAUCAUUAAAUCUUUCAACUAUGACGUAAGUAUGAAUUUCAUUAGUCAUAUUCAUUCUACAAGAUCAAUUGGAGUUAAUUCUCAUAUUUGGCUCAAUCUUGCAUUCUUCUUUUUUUCCGGAGGUCUCAGCUAUUCUUGGUGUUGUUCCUCGUCAUCAUUCUCAGCUUGCAAAUUCGAAGGAGUGUUUGUCUCAGUCUUGCUCGAUUCUUGUAAAGAUUGUCAUUUCAGCUUCGUGGCAUUAUCUUAUUUGCUCCAAUCAUGAGUAAUCCCUUUCGUGCUAUCCGGUGCUUUUCUGAGUUGUUUUCAUUCUCGAUCCUCCGAAGGCCAUCAUCCAGAAGAUUCUUCGUUCUCAGCUUUCAGCUUUCAUCCUCAAUUCUUCUCAUUUAUUGUCUCUUCGUUCGUCUCUCGUUUACCGGUGCCUUGUUCAAGUUUUCUCUCAGGUGGCUCAUGAUCUCUUCAUUCUCAGGUGUUUCCAUGCAUUCUUGGAAUUUCCCAUUCAGUUGUGAAUUCUUACCGGUGCGUCCUGCAAUCAUGCUUCAUGUGGUGCAUAUCUAUCUCUCUCUUCAAGAUUCUUUCAAGAAGAAUAAGUCAUAUGCUAAAUCCGUUGCUUGUCAUCAAUUUAACUUGAUGAAGGAUAAGCAUAACAUAAUUCUUAUUCUUGUUCAUAGUGUUUUGAAUUCUUCUUCCGGAGUAGUUCAUGAUAUCAAUCCAUUCUCAAGUGUUCUUCAAGAUUAUUGUUGGAGAACCUCAAGUAUCCUUUCUCUUGCAUUUUCAAGUGCAUUUGUUCUUCCUUUAUCCUUGACGUGGUAUUAUAGCAUUCUUGUUAGUGUAGGAGCCUCGAAGAGUUUUCCUCUCAAGUAUGAGAUAAUUAAACCCACCAAUUCUAUGAUCAUGAGAUAUUUCAACCCAUGAUUUCUUCAUUGAGCUAUCUUGGUUUGGAUUUCACCUAAAGCUUUUCCUAUGGAUUGUUGCUAUCAUGGUGCUUGUCAUUAAUCCAAGUUCUCAAUGUAUCCUCUUGGUGUAAGAAAUUGUUCAUAUCUUGUUUCUCCCAAUCUAUCCUUGUUCCUUUUAGUGGUUGGUUGUCACCUCAUAUUUGUUGAGAUGAUUUUCAUAAGCCCACUACUGUCUUGUUCUUUUCGUUGUUGUUUUUCCAACAACUCUGUUCAAUUCUUCUUGCAAGGGUGCUUGCCAAGUUCAUUUGAGAUAGUAGUUUUCAUUCUUUUCUUCAUUCUCUUCUUCCGCUUGAGCUAGUUCCUAUUCUAUUGUUCCGGAGGCUUUGUGAUGUUGCUCUUUUGGGUCUAUUAUGUUGUUCUAUCAAGAUCAUGGUGUUCCCUUGCUCUAUUUACUUGUUUGUUGUGAUUAUUGUCUAUUUCUUCCACCUUGUCGAAUUUUUUGUCCCAUUUUCCUACCGAAGUGCUGCCGAAAUUUUCUGUGAAUUCUUGCUUCUUUCUCAUGUCAGUCAUCAUCUCUUUUCAACCUUCAAGGAUUGUUGGUGUCACUCAUUUGUCAAAGAAGCGACUAAGUUCUACCCCUUGUUCUUCCUCAUCCUCUUCCCCUUUCAUUCUUGGAUCUCGGGGCGAGAUCCUCUUGUAGUGUAGGAGAGUUGUGACUCCUGAUGCCGACGUUCCAGAAGAUUCCCCCUCCUAUUCCGUUUUCGUCGCGUGGUUCGUUUGUCUGUCGCAUUCAUCAUCGCAUCAUGCGCAUCAUCUGCAUUGCAUCGGCAUCUCCGUUGCCGCCAGUUUUCAAACUUGCAUCCGUUGUUAGUUGCCGGUUCUCGUCGUUGUUCGUUCUGAGCCCGACCGCACUCGCACGCGCCCGCAACAUCGUUCGAUUCCUGUUUUUAAAAGUGUGCAUAAAACUUUCUCUGAUGAGGGUGAAACUUGGCAUGCGAUCGUAAUUUGUUUUAGUUAGGCCGCCUGUCGAAUUUCGUCGCGAUCGGAGUUCGUCUGGUACCCGAACGGUCGACCGUAGCGGCACCGUAUUCGGUCUAUCGUCGGACGUUUUAUCGGUGUUUUAAAUUACGUUGUCGGGUGCCCGUUUCCCUCUCGUCAUAGCCAACACCCCUCUACACGGCCUAAACCUAACCCUAGGACGUUUCCGGAGCGUCCGAUCUCAAUCGGAGGGUCCGAAAACGCCCGAAACCCUAAGCCUAGUCCUUUCCUUCUAUAAAUGGACAGCGAAUCCUCCCUCUCCUCGUUUUCAGCGCCCUAACCCUAGCCAGCCAACCUUCCACCUUCUCCUCGCGCCGCCGGGCCCACGAGCCCGCAACCGGCCCGCCCGGGCCCGAUCUGGACCGUGCAGCACCAGNCCGUUUUGAUCGUGCCGUUCAGGAUCAUUCAUUUGAUCAUCAGUAGUCACGUCCGUUAUGCGUAGAUCUUCCCCCUCUUAUUUCUGGUAUUCGUAAGUUAGCCACCAAAAUAUAUGCUUAGCCGCUGCUGCAACCUCACCCCUUAACCUUACCUCACCCAUCAAGCUUUGCUAGUCUUGAUACCUUUGGAAAUGAGAUUGCUGAGUCCCCUGUAGCUCACAUAUUACUACAACAUCAGUUGCAGGUACAGGUAAAGGUUACUUGGCACGAGCGCGUUGAUUGUUCAUUUGAAGUUGCUUCUUCUUCUUCUUCAUCAUCGAUCUAGGAUGGGUUCCAGACCGGCAGCCUGGGAUAGCAAGGAUGGACGUCGUUCUUAUUUUUCUCGUUUGUUUUCGUCCGUAGUCGGACCCUGCUCUUACUCUUGAUGAUUAUGUACUGUACUGAUGUGACUCUGAUGUAGCUUGUGGCGAGUGUAAGCCAACUCUUUAUAUAUCUCUUCUUUUCAGUACAUGUACUUGUAACGAUAUCCAUUCUUGCGACACAACGAGAUGCGCUUCUAUCCCUGACGAGGCCCUCGUGCCAAAUUGAGGAUAGGGUCGCAUCUUGGGCGUGACAAUCUUCCCUCCAUGCUGAAUGAGUCUUGUCUGCACCACAGCUUCCGGUUGAAGAAGACAAAGUGGUUUUAUAAUCACCAUACCGAUAUCCGGCUCAAGGCUGCCUUGGGAGGCACUUGCUUCUUCAAUUGUGAUACCUGAACCACGUUGUGAAUCUAGGAGCUAGCUGGUGGAUCAAUUUUGUAUGCAACCUCUCCAACCCGGCUUAGCAUUGCAUAUGGCUCGUAGUACUUCAAGGCAAGUUUCUGAUUGCGACGAGCAGCAAGGGAAUUUUGCAAGUAAGGUUGGACUUUGAGAAAAACCUGGUCGCCCACCCUGAAGGAGUGUUCACUCUGGCUUUUGUCAGUUUGUUUCUUCAUGCGCUGUUGCGCCCUUUGCAAGUGUGACGGAGGAUCUCCGUCAUGGAGGCACGUUCAUCUAUCAGUUCCUGCAUAUCGUCGUUGGUGGCCGGUGUAGUAAUGCCAAAUGGACGAUGUUGAUACCCAUACAAGCCUUCAAAUGGGGUGAUGCCCGCCGCCGUGUGAUAUGUGGUAUUGUACCAGUGCUCGGCUAGCGAGAGCCAUUUCACCCACUUGGUGGGGGCGUCGUGUGUGGAGCAGUGGAGAAAAGCUUCCAAACAUUGGUUCAAUCGCUCGGUCUGGCCGUCAGUUUCUGGGUGUCGGGCAGAGCUCAUAUUCAGGAUUGUGUUAGACAGUUUGAAUAAUUCUUGCCAAAACAAAUUUGUGAACACCGGAUCACAAUCGGAGAUGAUAUGAGCUGGCAUCCCAUGAAUACGAUAGAGUUUAUCGAAGAAUAUUUGAGCAACUUGCAGUGCUGUAUAUGGGUGUUUGAGGGGCAGAAGAUGCGCAAAUUUUGUGAAUUUGUCAAUUACCACGAGUAUGACUUGAUAGCCUUGUGAAGAUGGAAGGCCUUCGACGAACACAUUCGGAAAUAUCUAUAUAGCACCUUUAUAGUCACCCAGUUAUGCUGCGAUGAUACACACAAGUCAUUCCUCCGGUGUCGGUGAGUUACGUGAUCUUAUGGUCAUAGGAAUGUAUACUUGACAUGCAGAAAACAAUAGCAACAAAAUAACACGAUCACAUGCUACGUUUAUAGUUUGGGUCUUGUCCAUCACAUCAUUCUCCUAAUGAUGUGAUCCCGUUAUCAAGUGACAAGACUUGUCUAUGGCUAGGAAACCUUAACCAUCUUUGAUCAACGAGCUAGUCAACUAGAGGCUCACUAGGGACAUAGUUUUGUCUAUAUAUCCACACAUGUAUUUGUGUUUCCAUUAAAUACAAUUCUAACAUGGAUAAUAAAUAAUUAUCUUAAAUAGGAAAUAUAAUAAUUAUUAUUUUAUUAUUGCCUCUAGGGCAUAUUUCCAACAGUUCCUAAUAAACCGGGACUAAAUUCUGGCCUCACGAACCGGGACUAGUGGCAGCAUUAGUCCCGGUUCAAAAGCAAAUCGGGACUAAUGCUUCGAACCAAAUCCAUGUUUUCUACUAGUGUAUGUCAAUUUUUCUCGUAGCGUGGCAAAAGCUCGGCUUUCUUAAUUACAACAAAAUAUGGGUUUUCACCCUUUUUUCAUUUUAUUAGUCUCGUAAAAAAGUUGGGUUGUUCUUUUUCUUGGGCCCCAUCUGUAGUAUCAGUUUUGGGCAAUUUUCUCGAAAUCACUAAUCGAGGAGUACUUCUUUCAAAGAGCACUCCCACCUUCCCAAGUUGCGUCCUUAUUUUUUAUCUCUUAAACCGUGCGUCUAAAGCUCGAAUCAUUUUUACCGUUGGGUUACUCGCAUUGAAAUACUUAAAACUAGAUUCUAUGUUGAUACGUUUUGAUGAACUUUUUUUCACAAAAAAACGGACAAAAGAUACUGGACGGAAAAACCGUGACUCUCGCAAUAGAAAAAAAUAGAAAACACGUUUUUUCGUUUUCGAGAGGCAUGGCGCGAACGCUAAACCGUGCCUCUCGCAGAAGAAAACCUGCAUCUCUUGUGAAAAAAACAGAAAACACGUUUUUUUCAUUUCCAAGAGGCACGGGCAUCGUGCCUCUCGCCAAAGCAAAAAAUGUUCCUCUGUGGAAGCAAAAUCGUACCUCUCGCUAAAAAAAUAGAAACGCGUUUUUUUCGUGCCUCUCGCGAAAGCAAAACUGUGCCUUUUACGAAACAAAACAGCAAAUGUGUUUUUUCACGCAAUAUUUUUUGAACUUUUUUUAUCAAGAAGCUAAGAAAGACAGGUGAAAAACCGAAACACCAAUAAAGACUAGAAAAAAGCAAAAAAAAAAUAAAAAAAACACUUAGAACGCAACACAUGACAAUGGCUCAGAGCACGUUAAGUAGCGGCGCAUGUGAGCAAUCGUUGGAAGGCUUUCGAAGGAAUGCUUCUUAACUACUCAAAGUUGAUUGGUUUUGGCUAGCAGGCCACAACGGGUUGGCUGGCUUGACAGAUCACGCUACAAGCAGAUCUCCUCCCCUGGCGAACAUCGGGGGGAUAUCGGCGGCUAAAAAAGAACGUGUCUCUUUGCAGCGGAAAUGAGGUAUCUGUUUUCGCCAGUAUGCAUGGAAGCGUAUCAUUGCAUUAAUAGGUGGAAAGAGUUACAAGGGUAAAGGAUCCUCCAACACGUACACUGCAAGGCAUGUAAACUAGUGGUAAGAGGCACUCGAGAGCACAAGAGAGGGGUUGAUCAGGCCCAAGCUGUAGUUCAAGUUACAUUAAUCGCAGCCUCCCUUGACGUUGUCUCGUGAAGAACAGUUUAGGGUCUUUUAGGUUUUUCUUCGCUCCAUGGCUCCGCUCCCGGAGCGGAUGAAGCUGCAGUACAAAAUGUUGGAGCUACCAAAUGGGUGCUCCCACAUAUCCGUGGAUUAUAAAAAGCUGGUGGAUUGCCGAACGUGUCCUUAGAGUCCUCCCACCUUCGCUCGAUCCAUAUGGGUGCCCUGGUGAUUGUGAUUGUGGAUGAAGAAACGACGGAAAGGUCAAGAUCCUAUUACAGGGUGGCAACUUUGUAGGACCACCACCUCACUUUACGACCUAGGACGUUGACAAGCAGACAUGUUCACAACAAGCUUCAUGAACAUAAAAUUCCAUCUCCUACAUGGUGAACUUGUUGUUGUAACAGGAACCUCGCCAACACCCUGUACAUGUAGGCUCACAUUACCUUCCGCCUACUGCGUCACAGAAGAAGAGGUAGCCGUACAUUGCACUGAUUCUGCCGCAGUGGGAAAAGCAUACCCACUAACAUGUUGGUUCUCUCCAAUAUCUCCCCAAAAUGUUGUGGUUUUACUAGUAGUACUAGUGAAUGGCACCAUUCUAGAGCACUUAAGCGCAAACACUGAUUGCUAGCUAACUAGCAGUAAUUGACACGAAAUAUGGUGGCAAAUGAAAUCCGUUGACGAUAUAUAUAUAGAGGCGGACUUCCCUGCAAUAAUUAAUACUGAUACACACAUAUAAGUGUGAGCAGAUAAAAAUUUGAGGUGCUAGAGCAUGAUGAAAACUGAAUUGCAUGAAUACAUCACAAAAUUGUGCUCCACAUAAAGUCAGCAUGACUGUCUGCGAGAAAAUAUCCAAUCUAACUUUGUAGCAGAUGUCUAUCCAGCUCAGGUCCAACCCGAAAGAAAAGACACCAUAUAAGCAUGCCUCGAAUAUGCACAAUAAUUGAUCUCAAUCUACAUUCCACAUUGGUCUAAACAAUCGAAAAUAUGUGACAUGAAUAUUGUACGAUACAAGGUACAGGCUGGAAAAAUGUGAUGGUCCGGCACAAAUGGAAUGGGAACUUUGAUACAGUUUAAAGCUCUUGUUAGUUCUAUAUAAGAUAUGCACAUACAGGAUAGCUCUCUACGUGCUCAGAAGUUCAGUCCAUGGAGUAUAUGAAAUGUUCAACUGUAGUUGUACAAAGUUUUCCUUGAGAAAAAUAUCGAUUUGAAUUUGGGAGAUAGGAGGAAACCAGAAUAUAAUAAGAACCAAAGGACUCUAACUUGUCCAUUUUUUGUUUUUGGUGGGACACAUGAAUUGCUCGGAACCCGCAGCACUGAGAGUUGCUUGAAACUGUGCCUCAGAGUUACUUUAUAGUUAUUAUAACCCAUGUUAUAGUUUACAAUUAGAAGAAAUAAGUUCAUCAGAUUUUGUAAUAACUUAUAAUUGUAAAUUUGAAGUUAAUUUCUUGCAUGUAACCCCAAAGCAGGUUAAUUUUAGGGCUCCUAAAAGUUGUAAAGAAAGAGAAAAGCGAUAUCAGUUGGCUUGAGAGCUAACAAUCGCCGGGUAGAAGACCAUAGUAGAACACAUCUACCUGUCAAAAAUGCGCUGAGAAGGGAGGCCUGAUGGUUUGUAGAUGCUUGUUCUUGUAACUGUUUGUUGCUGAAAUCCUUCUAAUGUUGCACAGUUCAAGUGUGGAACUUUGUUGUAUUUUGUUUAAUAGCUGUAGCUAGCAGUGAGCAAUUGCUUGUCAAGAAUGAUAAGUUCAUACUUUUAGAGUGUUAAACGGCUGAGAUGGUUUUGGAAACUUCUAAACUGCCGGACUUGCCAAAUUAUAUUGUGGGUUAUGAAAUCCCUUGAGUACAACAAAAUGUGCCCAAAAUAAGGGAAUCCACAAGAAUACGGCUUGUUUAUGAGAAAAAAAUUUACUACUCAAACGUUCACCACCCUGGUAACCUCAAGACAGCGCCUCCCGCAGGCUAGGCAGCGGGACCGCAACCGGCUAGGACAGAUAUUGCACGCGCUACAUGUCACCGUUCGGCGGUAACUACGUCGGACACCAUGUACGG
rnacentral:lncRNA from 1 species